rnacentral:lncRNA from 1 species
UUCAAAUAUAAUAUAUUUUACUCAUAAUGUAGAAAAUUAAAAAUUAAAGAUUUUUAAAAAUGUAUAAUUAUUAAGUUUGAGUUUAAAAUUAUUUUAAAGAUUCAUAUCUUCUGUUUGGAGAAAGAGAAAAAAAAAAGCAUUAAAUUAAAAAUAAACUAAGGAAGAGAGGAAAUCGACAUUUCUCGGUGGGAGAGAAAAAGGUAUGAAAAUUAAUGGAGAAAGUACAAUAGGGAUUUAAAAUUUUAAUUUUUGAAGUUGAAAAUUUGGUAAUAAAUAUUAUAAAGUUUAAAAUUGUAAAUUUUUAAAUUUAAAAUUUGAAAUUUAAAGUUUUGAUAUCCAAAUUUAAAAUUUUAUAAUCUAAUAUUUUAAAACUACAUAUAUAUAUAUAGAGAGAGAGAGGUAGGGAGAGGAGGGGAGGGUGGUUUAUGGUGCACUCCUUUAAUAUAUAUAUAUAUAUAUAUAUAUAUAUAUAUAUAUAUAUAGAAUAGAUGUACUUAAGAUCCUUCUUGGACCAUACAUAUGUCCACAAUCAACAAUCUAUGAUGCAUCAGAUGCAUCGAAGAUAGCCCGUGGACACGUGGCAGCACAGUAGAAUAACUCCACGCCCUUUGGCCUAUGGUGCACCACGUGCACUGAAAAUAGCUCGUGAACACGUGGCGGCAUAGUACUAUAACUCCACGGACUUCAAUAAAUAAUAAUAAUAGAUGUCAUAAAUUUUUAUGAGUCAGAGCCUCUACAUACACGGUCUCUAUACCUGCAGCUUGUCAUUACUGAUGGUAUUGUUGAAUGACUAGUUAAUUAAAAAAUUGAGAACAAGAUAUCUAUUAUUACCUUGGACAAUGCCUCUUCUAACAUUGUGGCAGUUCGACUUUAAUGGGUAAUUUCAUUACUAGAAGAAGAGAUUUUUUUUUAAGUGAGUCAUAUUUCAAGUAUGAUGUUGCGCUCAUAUCUAAAAUUGGUGAAAUUGCACAACAACUCAAUAUCUCUACAAGAAAAGAAUUGGCAUUAGAUGUUGCAACCUGUUAGAACUUAACAUAUAUCAUAUUAGAUCAUGCAUUUUUCAAUAAUGUGCAACUAGAGAUGCAAAUUAUAAAUAACGGUUGUCUCAAGGUUAUUGGACUAAAGCUCAAAAAGUUUUUUGCCUUUUUCAAAACUUGUUAUGAAGUAACAAACAUCUUUUCCGAUUCACUUUAUUCUAUAGUAAUUUUUUUUUUUUCAUAUGUAUGAAAAAUAAAAGAGCAACUAAAUCAAAAGUCUAAAUGCAAAGAUGAAUUUUAAAAAAAUAUGACAGUUGAAAUACGAAAGAAGCUUAACAAAUAUUGGGGUCGGUGUAAUAUGUUGAUGUCCAUCAAAGCUAUUAUGAAUCCUCAUUACAAAUUGAAGCUUAUUAAACUUUGCUUUCAUAAAAUUUAUCCUUAGAUCGAAUUUUGUUUCAUAUUUUAAAAGUUCAUAGAUCAUUAUUCGAUAUAUAUGAUGCUUAUGUGCUUGAGCAAGCAGCAAAAGUAUCUACACAAGGGGCCGAAGGAUCAAGUUUUUCAAAUUAUGAAAUUGAUCAAGAUUUAACUAGGAAGAUGAGCUAAGACAGAAGUAAAAAUUGAGUUUGAUUUAUACUUGGAGACAAUUGAGACAAUGAAAAUUAAAAAAUUAGAGCAAAAUAUGAGAUAUGAUGUAUCUAAAGACACAAUAUUUGAUGUUCCCAAUUGGUGGAAGGUGAACUCUCGCACGCUUUCUAUUCUUUCACAAAUAACAAAAAACAUUCUAUGCCAAUUACGACGAUAAUAUCAGAAUUUGCAUUUAAUACCGGUGGAAAAGUUUUAUGGAUUAUCGCAGUUCUUUAUCUACUACUACUGUAGAGGCCCUAAUAUAUGGAGAAAGUUGGACUCGUAACGCUUCAAAACUACCAAGUAAAAUCAAUGUAAAUCAUUAAAUACUUUUAAUUUUGAAUUUUAUAAUUUACUAUUCAUUACUAUUAUUUUAGAUAAUCAACUAUGAUGACUAAAUUUAUAGUAUGAUUAUUUAAAUGAGGAGAGCCUCGUCAUUCCAAACGUUGUGGAUUAUUAGCAAUUUUUUUUUUGUAAGGUUGAGUAAUUUUAAAAAUGUACCUAUUAUGUACAUUUUAUUACUUUUUAAAUUGUUUACUAUAUAAACUAUUAUUAUAUUCUUUGUAUAGAAUGGAGCGAUUUUGAGUUCAAAACAAAAUAUUAUUUUUUAUGCUUUUAUGCCACUGUGAUGGCUCUUAAAAUCUAUAUAAAUUUAGUUUAAUGUUGAAUUUUUAUUCUUUACAUUGGUGUAUUUAACUAUUUGACAUUAUUAUUUCUUUUAUGAUAGUAUCCUUUUAUUAUUAUAUUUGUAUUGUUGUCAUAUUUUUCAUAACAUUUUGAUUAGAUAUUAACGUUAUUUUCACAAAUCUUGCAUACUUAUUUUAAAAAUAUAUAUUGGAUCAAGCAACCAUGAAAAUUUAGAACAUAUUUUACUUAUCUUAAAUAUACUUAGCUAACUUUCUAAUAUUAAAAAAUUAUAAUUUGAUAUGAUUUUUAUUACAUUAUAAUUAAAAAAAUAUUAUUGAUUAUAUGCUUAAGAAAAUAUACAAUAUAUGAUUAUAUANAUAUAUAUAUAUAUAUAAUAAAAAAUAUAUAUAUAAUUUGAAAAAAGAAAGAGAAGACAUGGGAGACUUAAACAAAAAUAAAAAUAAAAAUAGACAUUCAUUAUAAGAUUAAAUAAAUCAAUUCAUAAAUUAUUUUUUAAUAUUAUAAUACUGUAUUUCACACAUUUAUUUGUUUGUUGAACUAUGAGAUAUGUUUUUAUACCAAAUUUUAGAUAAUAUUUUAUAAAAACUAAACUACAAAUUACAUAAUGUUAAAAAUUUCAAAGGACUCAUUUAAAGCUCGAGCUCGCUAACUCGAAGUUAAGCUCGCCCUGAGUUCAAGUCGAAUAAAUUUUAAGCCAAACCCGAACCUAGAGUUAGGCUCAAAAUUUAUUUCAAACCAAAUUUAAGCUGAGGUAAUGGAACUCAGCUCGUUUCCACCGCUAGCACCGACCAAAAUAAUAAAAUUAGUUGCAAAAAUAUUUUCAGUGCGUUCAAAUUCUUACACAAAAAAAUAAUAAUAAAUUUUUGAAAAAAAUAUUUAGAUUUCACAUAAAAGACCCCUAUUCGUGUUUCUCAAUUUUUUAUCUAUGAAACAAAAACUAUCAAAUGGGUGCUUUCUAUAUUUUUUUUUUUUUUCACAAAACGGUUCGUAAUUUUUCGAUGAAGCAUUAGCACUCACUAAGCUCCUCGGUAGCUAGCUAGCCAGACUUCCCUAACAUAGCCAGGAGCAAAAAAUAGGAAAAUUAAACGAAAAAAAAAAAGAAAAAAAUUUAUAUAUAUAUAUAUAUAGAGAGAGAGAGAGAGAGAGAGAAAAGAGAGAUGAGCAGAAAUAUUACCAUCCAUUUGUUUUCAAUGAUAGAGCAUCCAAAUCCAAAGAUAGAGCAUCCAAAUCGACGAUCGACAUCGUUAAAUAUAAUUUAUACUACUUGAAAUAUCUAAAAACCAAAUUUCAAAUAUUUUCGACAUCAUUAACCUAAUGAUCAAAUGAUUUUAAAAUUCAUAAUUUUAAUGGUCAAUAUGAGACAUUUUCUAGUUUAAUGCUGUAAAAAUACUCAAAUCAAUUAAAUUUUGAUUAAAAAAUUCUUUAAACUAUUUAGAACAAGAUCUAUACCCUUGAUUUUCAUUACAAGACUACUAUCAUCACUUUCUAGAGGAUAUUCAUUUUCAGCAGUUUAUUUUUAUGCCUACUUGAUGGACAAGAGAAUAAUAUUGGAAAAGUAUGAAAUUUAAUUUUUAGAUGCUUUUAAGUCGUAUAGUUCAUGUUCAACAGUACCGAUCAUCGCUUUGGAGACUCCAUCGAAAAUAAAUGGGUGGCAACGAAGCCUGUUUGCUACCGAUAUCAUUACAGCUCAACUAUAUAUAUAUAUAUAUAUAUAUAUAUAUAUAUAUAUAUAUAUAUAUAUAUAUUAGGACUACUAUACUCUUAUGAGUAUUAGGCUAUUCGUACUCAUAAGUUGUUUUCGAUGAUUAGACUUCCGAAUCGACAAUCCAUUCCGUUAAAUAUGAUCUAGAGUAUUUUAAACUUCUAAAAAAUAAAUUUCGUAAUUUUUUGAAAUCAUAAUAAAGUCAAUCAAGCGGGUACAAAAUGAACGGUCGAAAUCGAACGACGUCCUAAAAAUGGAUGAUCAUGUAGUGUUCCGAAGGUUUGGAUAGGAUUGGCUACAGUAUUAGUGACUGGUCGACACAUUUGGUGAGUGUCGGACUGAGUCGGAGUCGUUUAUGCACGAAAUGGAUACAGAAAUGGACUCGGCGCACUCAAAUAAGCAAAACUGAAGUUUUGCCAGAUUCGGGUGCCCAGAACUGGGUUUGGGUCGCCCAGAACUUGAGUGCUGGUUUGAGCAGAACUGGAAGCCAAUUCGGAUUCUAGUUUCGGGCGCCCAGAAAAGGGUCCGAAAGUUUACUUCAUGAAUAUCGUUUGCACUGACACGUGGUUGGUGGUAGGUGAGGUCCGCCGGAGCAGGAUUUGGGCGCAGCACACCACGGGCGGAGGAAUCGAAGUAGAGUAUUUGUGCAGUCUGGAAGUUUCGGACGCCCAGAACAUGGUUUCGGGCGCCCGAAAGUGUCUCUUUCUGCAGGGAUAGCAAGUUUGAGUUGUGAGUUCCUGGGGCUUAUUGGACCAUUCUAACUCCCUAUAAAUAGGUGGAGUACGAUCUCUGUGAGCUCUUUUCACCUCUUCUUCACAGUGAAGGCCAAAAUUGCAUUCCAACCCCUCUAAUUACUCCAAAUUUCACAAAUUGAAGCUUGAGGACUCCAGUUUAGCAGUUUUCUAGCAGGACCUUCGGCGUUUUGACUCGUGUGCGAUGUAGAAAGGUCGAAUUGCUGUGAAACUUGGUUUGGUGAUUAGCUGACUUCUGGAAGAUUUCGUGGAGUCCAUUUUGACUACAUUUGAUUGAGGUUAGUUUGGUCAAAUUACUAUUCUUCUGGGCUGCUGCUGUUUUGGACCUGAAUUUGAGUUUUCUUUGGUUAUUAUGGACCAAUUCCUGGAGAGAGCUGAAAUUUCGACCAGAAGAAGUUGCUCCACCUUUCCCUACUGGUUUUAGAGGGUGUUCUUCACCUGAAUUUGGAUUUGGAUGUUGCUAGGUGAGUAUUAGCAUUGGAAUUGAAAGUUUAAGCUUAAGUGCUGAAUUUUGGGGUUAUUGACGCAAUUUUGAUGUUUUUGUGUUUUGAGCUUGGGAGGAAAUUGGAUUUGAACCAGAGGAUGUCAUUCCAUCAUAGUACACUGCUUUUGGAAUCUUUUCUCACCUGAAUUGGUGAUUGGAAGGUGAAAUUCGCUUUGCAAUUGAGCAAAAUUUAAGUUUAUAAGCUGAAUUGCAUAUAAUUGAUGGAAUUUUAAUAUUUUUAGUGUUUAGAGCCUUGGAGAGGUAUUGUUGCUGGUGCUCGGUGAUCACGGCUGAGCCUCCCUGUGAUUUCGUAACUUCUAGCCUGUCGGAUUAGCGCUAGAGGUGGGUUAAUCAUCGGAUUCUCCUCCUAAGUUUAGUAAUUGAUAGCAUGUAUGUUUAGUCUUUUGUAUAUCAUGUAAUUAGCUCAAACUAGUGAUUUGCAUGCUUAUGAAAUCUGAGUUUGGAGCUUAAAAUGUUAGUUGAAUAUACAUGUUGGACUUGGAUUUGACUUAGGAGAAAACUGACGUUUCUACAUUGUCAUAUGUUAAAACUAUCAGAUUUAGCUCUAGGAGCCGUAAUUUGUUGGUAUCACCGCAGUUUGUGGGCGGUGGAUACUCAGGGUGGUGUAGAAUGUAUUUACACUCGUGCUGGGAUGCCGAGCUUAUUUUACAGCAGUGUUUUAGGCUGUUUCGGACUGUCGGAUGCCAUCGGGGUUGACAAUGGACCCAGAUUACUGUUUUUGCAUCAGAUUAUGCCGAGGGUACGUGAGUUGGAUACUUAGACCCUGUUACUUGACUAUAGCCUACGAGAGCCUCAUUAAGCUCGACAGAGACACACUUGCAUACUCAAUUGGGUAGCGCCCACGAGUGCCACUUCGGAGUCGGACUUUGUGCGUUUGCGUUGGUGUCGUUGUGUCCUGGUUGAACUUACUCUCCACGGGACGGCUUAGUGUGGAGGUAACGGUAUAGCUUCGACAGGCGGGACAAGUGUAUUCAGUCCCUGGGACGGGUGUGUUCACAGUCCCUAGUGAGAUUGGAUCAGAGAUCGCAUUAUUCUACAAAUUGUAGUGUCAGAUCAUAAUAGUAUAGUGGCACAUAGCUGUAGAUUAUUUUCAAUUAUUUACUAUCAUUGAGCAUAUCAUCUGUAGACUCUUGGUGGGUGAGCCGAUGAGUUGAGGGCGAUACCCACUGAGGACUACUUGUUUUUGCAGUAAUUCUCACGCUUAUUUGUUACCCCUAUUUUGCAGAGCCUUCGGUUCCGGCUGCUGCUACUACCGAGACUGAUCGUGGCAAAGGCGUUGCAAGUUAGAGCCCUUCUAGAUGAAUCACUGUGCUAGUGGAGUACCAGCUGCAGGUAGUUGUAAUUUUUGAUUCUUUACAUACUGAUGUUGUACCUCGCUGGAGCGAGUAUUAUUUUGUACCCGGAUGCUAUAUAUGUAUUGAACCACUGUUAUUAUUUAUAUUUUAUUCCUUUCUAGCAACUCUAUACUACUAGUAGUAGUAUUGUGUGAUUACAGGUACAUGUACAACUUCGCUUCGUAUACAGAAAAAAAAAUUUUAUAUACGACGGGUCUGUUAGCGUGCCCGGAGAAAUGAAGAAUCUAAGGCGUGACAAAUCGGAUCCUUCAAUUUAAGAUCGAAGUUAUUGAUCUUUAUCUAGGUAGUGAAUAUAAUUUUCUAUUAAAAAUUCAACCGAUUCCGAUUUUUUUACGCCGUUAAACUAGCAAGUAUCCCAUACCGACCGUUAAAAAUUGUCAAUUUUGUAAGCUUUUGAUUGUAAGUAAAUGAUGUCGAAAAAUUAUAAAAUUUGAUUUCUAGAAGUUUUAAAUACUCUAGAUAAUGUUUGACGGUAUGGAUCGCCGAUUCGAAAGCUCUAUCAUCGAAAACAACUUAUGAGUACGAGGGCAAUCGUACUCAUAAGAAUAUAGUAGCCGGACUCUAUAUUAUAUAUAUAUAUAUAUAUAUAUAUAUAUAUAUAUAAAAUUGAACUCCUAUACUUUUAAAAGUANACGUGGGCCCCCAAAGAUUGAGUGGGUGGUUGGUUGAAUAGUAUAAUCUAACGAUUAAAAAUGAUCAGAAGAGUAGAUCUAACGGUAAAAAAUUUACAAGCACCAAGUGUUUGGUGCUUGUAAAAGCACCAUAGCCGGACUGGUGUGUAUAUAUAUAUAUAUAUAUAUAUAUAUAUAUAUAUAUAUAUAUAUAUAUAUACAUACUUCACUUCGAGUGAUAAAAAUAAUAGCUGAUUUACUACUAGACCUGCCUAAUGAGAGGUAAAAGUAAUAAUAGCAAAUAUUGCCAAUAGAGACAGCAACGGCAACUUCUGCCAUUACACUAUAUAUACAUCUGAACGCUUAUUAUAGAGUUGUAAAUAAUGCUGGGAAGAGGAGCACCUUCUCGUAAGUCGUAACCUGCUCAGAAUCAUACUAAUUGCACAACGGCGGCGAUGCGCAAGGAUCCGCCUUGGAGGAGGUCCGCGAGCUCGUCGAACAAGAACGCGGUGCGCCAGCCCCACCCCUUGGGCGCCUUCGGUAGGAGCGUCCCCGCCUGCUUAAAGCUUCCGAAAACAAGGACUUCCCUCUUUGAUGGACAAAUUAACUGCGAAUUUCAUACUAGAAGUUCAGGAUAUUUUGAAGCAGAAUAUAAUUUGAAUGCUGCCCUCUCUGUGCACUUUGAAUUGGAAUCUAAACAACUCUAAAUUUUCAUUUUACUACCUUACUACCUAACCUUAUGUAGCAAUGUUUGAAGUAAGUACCUCUUCCUCACAAAUCGACAGUGCUUCUGCUUUUCGACAAAAUAUUUUAAAACCUUGUUGGCCGAAAACAUUUUCUAACAGAUGAAAUUUUCUAAGAGUCAAAAGUAAUGUAAGGUCAUCAGGUAGUAAUCAAAUCUUUUUGAAGUUCAAGUACCAAUUUCACUAUUUACCAGAGGUAGGUUCCGUAAACCACAUGCUUACACAAAACGUACCUGAUACCGGGCUGUCACUUUCUCCCGCGAGUCUAUGUACAUAUGUACCUGAUAAAAGGAAAUGUUAGCGGGCAGAAAACAUGCAACAAUAUCCCGCACCAAAGGUAAGUAACUGACCUUUCGUAAAGGAUCAGAGACCUCCGCCUUGCGCCUGUGAAGAAACAAUCCUGCAUGGCGAUUUGGUUUAGAGAUGUAGAUGUGUUAAACCAUUUGGGUGAAAAAUUAAGACAGAUCAGGAGAAUGUAGAAAUGUACCAAGCGUGCGGCGUCCCUGUGGGUCUUCAUCGUUGAAUGCCUGGACGCUCACCUAUUUAGCAGCGCAAAGGUUUCUCAGAUUAGCGUCGCACGGAAAAGAAAAGUGCCAGUAUCAAAACUCAUGGAUUCUGUAUUGUCUUGCAAAAUUGCUGUUAUGUAUAUAAAAUCUUUAACACGUUAAAACAGUCGAAGUUUCUAAAUAGGAAACUAAAAGGUCUAACCUUUUAAAAGUGCGCCCCAUAAUACAGCAAGAAUUCUUCAUUCACAAAAAGAAAUUGAAAACAAGUUUAUGCAGGUCUCAUUUUUACAUGUACGUCAAACAAGAAAUUUUGGUUCUUUACUACACUACGAGUAUGAUACACACAUAGAGGUAUACGAGUACAAACCUUCCACAGUGAACCGGCAUAGAAUACAUCUGGAGAGUGCUUCACUAGGCCGUCAGUAAGCCUGUGCACAUCUUCAAACUCCACCCUGAUUUAAUUUGAAAUUUGUCAAUUUGAGAACAUAGAUAAUUGGCACAGAUUGCUUGCUGAACCUACUGAAUCAGAAUACGAGCAACUCACACGCAUCACUUUCCAUUUCAUACAAAUGCAUGGCCAAUGCUAACGUCAGGUAGAUCCAGAAGAUCUAUGACUUAUUUACCACUAAUUUCAUCUAUUAAUUGUAAAAUACUGAUGAAAAUGAGGGCUGAAUUUUAGGAACAUCAAGAUUUCGCAAAAUCAAUCUUUCUUUCAUCCAAUUCAAUCACCUGAAUAGUCAAAUGUAUAAACAAGAAAGUAAAGAAGCUUAAAAGAAAAUUUGAAGCCAUUUGAUGUCAAGAUAACAAGAAGAGGAUUUCAGGUCAAUGCCAUCAGCAAAGUGGCGCAUCACGUCAAUAUUAUUCCAUAGCCAGCGCCACCUUGUGGUAGCCAGCAUGGUGGCAUGGCACUCUAUGAAAUAUAGUAGCAGCAUUGAAUAUCUAACAAGAAUAAAAAGUCGAGUCAUUUUACCCAAAGCGAAAAGGAGGGAAAUGGCGCAAUGGUGUCUUCAAAUCCAAGGAUAUGGACGAACCCUCUGAACAUUCCCAAUCAUUUCCGAGAUCAUGAUCCCCAGGUCCUGUCACCUGCACUGAAGUGCCACUAGCAUUGGCAACAGAUGCUGCACCAGUAAACCUAACCGCAACACGAGCAUCUGGUAUUUCGGUUUCCUCAGAGUUAACAUGCACAAUAUUGUUCCCUUGGCUAAGGCCAACCAGUGCAGUCAAACCAUCUGAAAUAUCAACAUUAUAAAAAUCAACAACUCAAUGCUCAGAUUCAUUGUUCGCGAGCAACAGCUGGCAAUUUGCUGUUGCCAGGCCCAAAAGGAACAUGUGAAAAUACACAGCAAGUUGGAGGCCAAGUCGCACCAGGCACAUAUGCAGUUCCUCCUCGCCCAAUGCCCGCAAGCACAUCAAUCGCACCCCUCACAUGGACCCGCAUUGGCCCAACCGCGCCGCUUCCAUCAGCUUGUUGGGCCUCCGGAAUGUAUAUGGAGCCAAUGUUGCUGGAAGUACUGCUUCGAUCAUGCUCCAGUCUGUAGUAGCCCAUUGAACUGCCACCAUGUGAAUACCCGUAUGCCUGUCUACAAGCGCAUGCAUUACUCAUGAGACAGCAAUUUCUGCAAGUAUCAGCUCCUAUUGCUUGCACCCUAUGACACAGUAGCAUCUGAAUCAAAAAAAGCAUAGGUUAGAAACAGGAUUCCCAUGAAUAAGAACUGAAAAGAAAAGAGAUUUUCACAUAUAUUGCCCUCAAAAUACAGUAGUUGUGUGCAUACAUCAAAAUUUACAAUUUGUACCUACACUCUUCAAAAUAGCUUACACUCUUCAAAAUAGCUCAUAUUUAUGAGUAUACACCUCACACUCAACAUUACAUUUUGUGCCUAUACCCUUGGAAAUAAGACAUAGUUGCAUGUGUGCCCCUUUACUUGAGAGCAUGCUAAAAAGCUGGGUUAUGGUGUGCAAUUGCGGCACCCUUGUAUUUUUUAGUUUUAUGCUGUCUUUUAGUGUAAAACCCUUCUUUUGAGCAUGAAAAACUCUCAGGUAGAGGGGCAUACAUGCAUUGAGCUAUUUCUAAGGGUAUAGAUGCAAAAACCUUUUGAGGAUUUUACAAGCAAAUAUAGACUAUUCAUAGGGCUAUAGGGCAAAUUGCAACUUUUCAAGGGUAAACAAGCAAAUAAAUGUACAAGAGGGGUAUAUGUACAAAAGAAAUGCAACCAAACCUGAAGCCAAAGACCAUCAUUGACAGCUUUGCAAGGAAACCCUAAUUCUUCUAGCUGCUUCCGGACAUUUAGCAAAGCUUCAAAGGACAUGUUACAAUAGAGAAGAGAGCCCCCUUCAAAGACAUUCAUGAAGGCAUCAAAUCCAUCACCACGAAUGGAAGAGCUUGCCUUGGCAGUGUCAGAUUGUCCCCUCCCCACUAUCCUGCCGCCCCACGAGGGCAUGUUGCACCUUCCCCAUUCACUAGAUGUUGCUCCAUUGGAAGGGUUUGCCGAGGAGCAGUUGUUUGACUGAUCUGCAGGGAGCCAGUAAUUAUUAUUAUUUAAUUGAAAGAAUGUGCUUUCUUCAGGUGAACCUUCCACAGUGCUGGCGUUUUCUCUUACUCUCGCAGUUUCAACACCACUCUGCAUCAAAAACAAGAUGUUUUUACUCAUUAUAUCAAACAACAAGAAACAGGUAAAACAGGUUUGAGGGUAUAUAUGGAAUCUAGAACCAAUCGGAGUUAUUUACAUACCCAUACUGGUUCGGUGCAAGAACCAGCUGCGUGGAAGUCCACUGUGCAAUCUGCAAGCGCAACCAAAUUGUCCUGAGAAGUUCUAUUGAUUAAAUUGUCUAGUAUGCUCAAUUGUCCCAAUUCAGAUUCUAGUUGUUUGCCAGUACUGCUGUGGACUAUAGUUUUUCUCUUUGGUAAAGAUGACUCUAGCAUAAUAGAGUCCACCUCAGAAUUUGAUCUUUCUUCUGCAGCAAUUUCUUCCUUAGCAGCAGCAUCUUUUGCAAGUAGAGUGUAAAACGCUAGUUCAAACCUUCAGAAAAUGGAAAGAAGGUUUAAAAUUGUAAGUUCAAAAAGUUGAUAGCAGGCUAGGCUAGUAGCAUGCUGCAUACCUUUUCUCCUCAUUAGGAACCCAUAGUUCAUCAGAUGUAAGGAGGGUAUGUAGAGUUUGUGAGGAUAGUUUGGGAAGUACCUAAUAUCAAAAUUAUACUUGGUGAGACUCGCAUGAUUUAGAGCAGGUGAAUGCAUGUACAUAUCAAGCAAAAGAGCAGGUAAGAAAGCAAAUAACUGGUGGAAAGCGAAAAUAACACAGAACAUGAACUGUCAGUUAAAAGACUUUUUUUUUAAUGUGCAAGCAUUUUAAUAAGCACGAAAUGUUGGUCCAGAAGGAAUAGCCAGACACAAUUCAGCAUCAGUUAACACAGAUUGACAGAUAUAUUUACUUUGGCAUGUUCUGAACAAGGUUCAACAGUAGCCUAGCAAUGGUUUAAGCUAAGGGCUGUUUGUGCAUAAAAAUGUUUUAAAUAAUUUUACAUAAUCUAUACUUAGUUGAUGGAAUAAGGGAAUUGUGAAAAAUGUGAACGAAUUUGCUAAGAAGGACAUAGAAUUUACAUUAAUUCACGAAUUAAAUUUGAGGAGACCCGCAUAUUCUCCAAUGAGAACUCAAUCAACCGAAAUCAAGUUUAAUUUUACAAUGCAAGUGAAUGAAGAUGCUUAUUUAUUGGAAAAAUACAAGAUCUAGACAUCAUACUGUCACUAAUUUCAUUAGAUUUUUACGAUCAACAGCUCUAGACAUCACGUUAAAACAAGGCUUAAGGCAUUAAGUAUUUACAGUCAAUCUGAAAGCAGGAGAAUUUAUUUUUAUAACAGACUCUGAAACUAAAAUUAGUCCGAAAGGUAACAUAGGGACUUCUUGCUAAGCUGACUUUGCUGGCAACAUUUGGUACCAGGACACUUGCAAGUUGCACUGUAAGCUUUUCUUUCUUUUUCUUUUAAAGAAGAAAUUUCUCAGUACCAAACAUCCGCAACCCAAGGCAAAGCAGAUAUGUAAUAUUGUGCAUCAUAGUAGUUUAAAUUGAAAUCAACCAUUUGUGAAGUGAAACAUUGUCUUCUUACCUCUCUCAGUUCCAUUGUGGCACUUCGACAAAGGUACCCCCAGCAAGCAUUUCUGACCCGCUCUCCAUGUAUGCCAUAAUCUUGGCUCUCUGCAAACACCUUUUUGGAAAAAGCAAAAGAAAAUGUAAUUAAAACAAAAAUCUGGUUUCAUCAACUUGAUACAAGAAAGUAGAUCAUACCUGAUAAGAAUAAAAGUUCAAAGCACGCAGUUCUGAAAUGAUAAAAUCCGUGCAGCUUGCGCAUAAGUCCUGCAAGAAAAUCCCAAUAUUUAUGCAACAGAAGAUAAAGCAUGUAGGAAAGACGAUUUCUUGCCAAAUUGAUAAUCUGGAUAACCUGCAGAUCAAGAAAAGAAGCAGCAGCGAGGACGCGGAAGGCAUUUUUAUCAUUGAGCUGGGGAUGGAAUCCAUAGAGAUAAGCCAAGGCCAUAGCAAUCGCCUCUGAAUUAACAUUUAGAUCAUCAAUAUGUAAGACUACAGUAGGCGCGCCAGCCUCUUUCCAAGGUCCAUGAAGCAUGUUCCUGCAAAUUGGUUCCAAUUACCUCGGUUCUAGAAUGUUUCUUUAAGCAUGUUAAGAAUGAAACUUUUCUCAGAAAUAAACAUCCAUAUAUUUACCUUUCUAAUAAGAUAAUCAGAAAGUUCAUCAUUGAAGAAAGGAAUAGUAAUCAACUACCAAAAGAUAUUGGUUAUGCCUGAUGCAAAAUUUGUCAAAUAGUAGAUCGUAGACAAUACAAUAUUAACAAACGGAAAACCACAUAAAUCUAUAGAAAAAAUGCAGGAAAAUAAGAGGAAAAAUUGCAGAACCCCAUAAACUAUAGGCCAUUUUAAAAUAAAACCCUCAGCAAUUCUUCUUUUGACUAACACCACCUCAAUUUUUUGAUUCUUUUGAUUUAAGUUAUUUUCAUCAAUUAAAUUAGGGAUUUUGCUAAGUCCAAUGGUGAUUCUAUUAAAAUUUAACCACUCUGCAUGCUUGUCCAGCCUAUGGAACUGCAGAUUUCAUGUAGUAUUAACAGUUGAUAACUAAUAUAGUUUUUCAUUUUAAAAAUCCCUAAUUCAAAUAUAAUGAAUAACUUGAAUAAAAACAAAUGGAGGUUAAGAAAGUGUCAGUAUACAGAACAAGUGCAAGAACCCAUCUUGAAUUGCCUAGAAUUGAGGGGCGUACGCACAGUUUUUACUAAAACGAUAGAAGUAUCAAAUUCUCAUACUUAUAACCAAGUAUAUAGAAUAUUAAAAUCAGAAAAAAAAAAAAAAGGAAAUUUUUAGCACACAAGUUCAUCAGGAAUCAGAAAUGUACACAUCAAUUGCAAUCUACAGAACUAAAGAUCAAGAAACCCUUUUCAAUUGCAAUCUACAGAACUAAAGAUCAAGAAACCCUUUUCAAUCGCAAUCUACGGAACUAAAGAUCAAGAAACCCUUUUCAAUUGCAAUCAACAGAACUAAAGAUCGAGAAAUCCCUUGAUCGGAGGCACCUGAAGUAGGAGCUGCGCGAGAGGAUGAGUCGGUGGAGGCGGUACGUCGAUCCCAUCGCCUCCACCACCACGUCGGAGAACGUGCCGGAGUUGAAACCCUCCGCCCGGAUGUGCUCGCACAGCGCCCCGAGGUUACAAUCGGGCGCCCGGAGCUCCCCUCCUCCUCCGCCGCCGCCGCCUCCGCCGCCGCCGCGGCGAUCGCUCUCCGGCGGCGUCUGGAGACCGAGAUGUGGCGGAGCCGGGAGCGUUGGCGGCGGAACCUGCGGCGGCGGCGGCGGCGCCGGGAGCGGCGCCGGGGACGGGAUGUUCGGCAUUUCGAGGGAUCGGCGGCGGCGAGGCUUAGAGGCGCGCGACGGGGGCACCAUUGCAGUCUCCCGCGGCGGCGGCGGCGAGCGGCGGCGAUGCGCGACGGGGUUCUAGGGCAAUGAGAGCCAUGAAAGAGAUCGCCUUCUCGCUCUUUCGCGCUCUCUCUCUCUCUCUCUCUCUGAGGGUUUCGAAUGGAGUGGUGUCGGUGCGAUUGCGGAGGGAUAGGGUUUUAAUUGCUUAUAUACAGUGGAGAGGAAAAUGGGGCGACGGGGAAUUUGCGGAAGCCCUUCCCAUUGGGGGUGAAUUGUUGCCAUUUUAUUAUCUUUUCUGGUUAAAAGUGCACAAGAGCCCCUCAACUAUAGAAAGUUUUGAAGGAACCACCUCCACCAAUGGUAAAAUUGUAUGCAACAUAUCUGAACUACCACCUUUUUUAGACUACUUAAUCUUUAACAAUUUUAAUUUUAUCAUCUAUUUUUUUAAUUUAUUUAACUGAAGCCGGUGAUGACUCUUUAACUUCAAAUUUUGAAAAUGUUGUUUGUAUUUAUGGGCGUAAUUAGCAUAUUUUAUAUCAUUUAUGGAACUAUAAAUUUAAAAAAAUAAAUGAUUGGCUUAAAUUUUGCAUCAGAAUAACUAUUAAAUGACUUACAUCAAAUAAAUUUUAAAAAUUUAUGUACCAAAGUCAAAACUUUAAAAGAUUCGAUAGUAGAAUCAAAAUAGCCAAUAAAUCAAGUAAUUCUAAACAUUUUAACCUUUUUUUUUCUUUUAUUCACACCAUUUUAACUUUUUGAUUUUUUUAAUUGAGUUUUCUAGUCAAUAAAGUUAAAAUUUUGCUAAAUUAAUAGCAUUAUAAUCAAUAAAACUAUUUUAUUAAAUAUACUUAUUACUUGAUUAAAUUUAAGUACUAUGAAUGUUAUUUUUGGACACUGAAAUUACUGAUUUCAUUAACUAUAAUAAUAAAUAGAAAGAAAUUAUUAAUUUUAAUAAAUUUCAAUUUAGAAAAUGAUUAAAGAAAAAUGGCUUGUAGUUGAUGAGGUUUCCAAACUUCAUAUAUUUUUCUCUCACUCUCUCUCAAGGAGUUAGGAAGGGGAUAAAAAGAUAGUAAUAGAGAGUGCCUUAGAGGUGUUUGAUUUUCUAAAAAAAUAAAGCUACAGGCACAAAAAUAUCUUUUCCAUGAAAACUUCUUUUUCGAAAAACACUCUUUGCCGAGGGGUGUUUGGUUUUUCAAAAGAUAUUUUAGAAAAUAUUUUCCUCACUAAAAAUAUAUUUUUCGUCCAUUUGAUUAUUCAAAUAAAGUAAUUUUUUUUUCUGAAGAAGGUUUUUCCCAGAUUUUAUGAAAAAGUAUUUUUUUUGUUUUUCAUUUUUUAUCUGAAAAACUAAAUUGUGGAAAAGAGUAUUUCUUAUACAAAACUUUUUGUUUGAAAAUAGUUUUCACUUUUUUCUAGGAACCAAUCACCCCACUUCUUGCCUAUAAGGGACUAACAAUCAAAAUACUAUUUUUCUCAAAAAAAAAACAAUCAAAAUGCUAUUAUCAAAACCUAAAAAAUUAUUAAUUUUUUUUACGAUUUUUUAUAAAAUAAUAAAUUUUAUUUGAUCAUAAUAAUCUAAUUUUGACAGAAAAAAUAAAAAGAAUUAUAAUAUAUUUAGUUAAGUUUGGUUUAUUAUUAAAAUAAAUUAUUUUGAAAACUGAAAGAUAUUUUAAUUUAGGUAUAUUUUGAGAAUAUAGGAAUAUAUAUAUAUAUAUAUAUAUAUAUAUAUAUAUAUAUUCUUAAUUUUAAUUAAGCUAAAAUAAAUGAGUUAUUUAUCUAUACCUAUCUAUCUAUACCUUACCAAUACAUUAAUCUCCAUUGCUAAAUCCUACAUGUACCCAUCCCGUUAAUUUGAAGAGAAGUGGGGCCUAUUUUAUUUUUUUACUUUUUCUCUUUUUCUUUAGAUUUAUUAAAGCCUAAAGAGUUUUUUUAACCCAUUUCCUUUACUUUUUGGUCUUCCACUCUNAAUUAGGCUACUAUACUAUCUAUAGUACGGGAGCUCCCGUACUAUAGUGUAGUUUUCGAUCUUCGGGCAUUCAAAUCAACGAUCCACACUGUUAAAACUGAUUUAAGGUAUUUAAAGUUUUUAGAAAUAAAUUUUUAUAUUUUUUCGACAUCGUUUACUUAGUAAAUAAAUUAUGUCAAAAUGGACGGUGGGAAUUGAAUACUCUUUAAAUUUUGAGUAUAGGACUUUUAAAUUUAAGAUCAAGAAUGUUAACCUUAAUCUAUAUAGUUUAAAGUAUUUUCUAUCAAAAUUUGAAGAAAUUUAGAUUCUUCUAUACCGUUAAACUCCCGAUUCGUCAUAAUAGCCAUUGAAAAUUGACAAAUUUGAAAUGUUUUGAUCAUAAAGUAAACUAUGUCGAAAAAAUAUAAAAAUUUAUUUCUAAAAACUUUAAAUAUCCUAGAUCAGUUUUAACGGUGUGGAUCGUUGAUUUGAACGCCCGAAGAUCGAAAACGACACUAUAGUACGGGAGCUCCCGUACUAUAGAUAGUAUAGUAGCCGGACUCCAUAUAUAUCUAUAAACUUAAAUGAAAGCACAAUAUUUCUUGCCACGUGGCAAGUCAUUUUUCAUCCCUUCAUCCUCAUAAAUAAAUAAAUAAAUGAAACUAAUUCCUCUAUCUAAAUAUCAAAUUAACAACCCUUAGUCACAUUAAAUAUCAAAUUCUUUACUCUUGGACUUUUAUCUUAUGAAACCAACCCUUCGCCUUCCCUUCACAUAUAACGUCUAAUUUAACCCUAUCUAAAUGUACCGUAAAUCUAGAAACUCAUCCAAAAGGUCCAAUCUUUUGCCUUCCCUCCGCAUAUAACGUCUAAUUAAUGUAUCCAUUCAUUUUAACCCUAAUAUAAUCGUAAAUCAAAAAAACCCACGCAAAAGCCUCAUUCUCUCCUAUGCAUGUCAUGAAAAUAAAAGCUUAUUUUAUUUCUUAUAAUAAAUUACAACCUCCUUCAUUUAGCAAGAGGUGUGGGAACUAUUUACUUUUUUUUAAAAAAAAUUCCUAAUUUUGAUGUAUUAUCCUCUUUUCAUUUAGUCUGAGGCGUGGGCGAUGCUUCAGGUCAUAGCGAUGGCGGAGGUGGUGAAUGUGAUGGCAUUGGAGACUAAGACGGCUGCGGAAGAAAGCGUGGGCAAUGACAGUGGAGAUCGAGACGGCAGUAAAAGCAAUGGCAAGACUCGCCCUCUUAGAGACCAAUAUUAAGUGAGAGUUUCUCUAUCUUUUCUUUGUUUUCUCUCUCUUCUUAUUUUCUAUUUUUUUAAUCUAUUUUUAACCUAUUUUACAGUAUUUUUUGAAAUUAUUUGAUAGUUUCUAUUUAAGAUGAGUUGGAUUGGAUUAAAAAUCUAAUACUCUGAUAAUACCCAUCCGCCGCAUCGCGCGGGUAACUACACUAGUAUAUAGUAUUUGUAAAUUAUCUUGCAUAUUAUUGUGAGUUAUUUUUUUAGUCAUAUCAACUGCAAUAUGGCAUUUUAUUUGAUUAUUGUGUUAUAAAAAUAAUUUUAAACAUCCAUUUGCAUGAUAUGUGGCCUUUUUUGAACAAGAUUGAAUAAUUUUAUUGGAACAAUUGAUUCUUUUUCAUUAUAGUUUUAUUUUUUUAAAAAGUGUUUGUUUAUAAUAUAGACUAUAUUCAUUAUUUUUUGUACUAAAUUGAUAUUUUAUUAUUUAUAAAUUUUUAUUCUAACAGUAUCUACUCAUCGUAACACGCGGGUUAGUACACUAGUUAUACAACCAACGGUGGUUUCUUCUUUUAAAAAAGAAACUUUUCAAUUUAAAUGACAGUAACUAAAGUUCAGUAACCAAAUUUAAAUAUGGGGAUAGUAUGAGGGCCUGUCCACAUAUUGCACCCGAUAUUUUGUUUUUUUCUUUUUAAUGUCCUCAUAUGGAGAUUUUAUACGGAUAUUCCGUACGGGAGCGUCCCCUCUUUUCUCCCCGGGCCCUAAUCCUCUUCGUCGUCGUCGUCGUCCUCCUCACAUACCUCUCUCGUUCCCGAGCUCCCUCACCUCUCCAAUGGCCGAUGGGGGAGAUGACGCCGACGAGGCGGCGGCGGAGCUCACCGACAAGCAGAAGAAGGAGAUCGCCAAAUGGUUUCUCACCAACGCCCCCGCCGGAGAGAUCAACUACGUCGCCAAAGGUCCCCUCUCUCUCUCUUUUCCCCCUCAAUUACUUCGCUAUUUUCUUCUUCUUUGAUCUCUAUAUCGCUGUAGAACUAUGCAGAUAUACGUUCGCUUCUCGGCAACGAUCGUGUCUACGAGGCGGCGGCGGCCGAGGCGUUCCCGAUUUACAACAAGAGCCAUUUGGUCGCGCUCGAGAUGCCCGAUAGGAGCGGCGAUGUGAGUGCGUAAUGCGAUGAUUGCAUGCUCUUUUCUUAAGUUUGAUGAUGUUGUUUGUUGGAUCAUUUAGAUUGUUUGCAUGGUAUGAGCUUGGAUUUUGCCAUCGUUAGUGUGUAAUUGAGCGUUUAGGUGGUGUUUUUUUAGUCGCGGGAUUUGAUUUGGGACUUUGGAAUUGUAGAUGAUUUGUUUGCAGAGUACAAAAAUGCUGAUACGAGAUGAAGUAUGAUGAAGACGAGAUACAACAAUCUAAACAUUAGAUACUUCAUAAUUUAGGUGCAGAUUUCUAUUAAACCCAAACUGAAGGUUAACAGGCUUCACCUCUUAGGGAUAACUUGCUUCAUGUUGAAUGAGCUCCAAGGAAUUGUUAGAAUGUAAGUUCAAUGCUGCAAUUAUCCUAGCCAAAAGCGUCUGCGCCAUGAGAUCACAAAUUGAUAAUAAUGUUGAUCUAGGGAUCUGAUAAUUCAAGUGCUUUUGGGCCUUGAAAACAAUUAUGAUUUUGUUAAUGUUGCCAUGAGUGCAUGGUUGUUGGCCCAUGGGAACAACUAGGACUAUAGUGUUAUUCAUGUCAAUCAUUGCAUUCUAAAUGUUUUGUCAACAAUUGUCACUUUAAACUUUUAGGAUGAUAUUUGUACAUAUAUAGAGUUAGUGGGCAGUCUAGAGUAUGUUUUUAUCAAAAAGAGGAAAAUUCUUUCAUUAAUUGUUUUUAUCAAAAAUUGCAAGACAUUUUGUUACAAAAAGACAUGUGUCAUGUACUUUUUUCUUUGUGGUUUAUCAAUGCUUUUCCAGCAGCAAACAUGUGGUUAUAACAUCUUUAACUGUAGUCCAUGACUUCAGGUAGUCCUUAACAGACAUAUUUAACCUUCUCAAACAUGCUUUUUUUCCAUUCUUACUGCUUAGCUAGUUAAUUUCUUUUUUCUUGCAUUUGCAAAUUCACUAUAUUUUGUUGCACAAUUAUAGGUAAUCAUUACGCCCUAUGGAGAACUUGACAAAUGCAAUUACUUUGAUCCCAGGACGAUGCAGGUUGCUACUGUGGAUCAUAUGAAGCAGGUAAUCUCCCAAUCUUUACUCUCAUCUGAGCAUCUUACACUUCUAAAAUUAUUUGUUUUCUUGCUUGGAAAAAAAACUGUUCAAUUUGAAAACAUAUGUUGUUGAAAACUUGCUUAUAACUGCCAAUAAAAGGCAUCUAAUAUUGAGAUGUUAAACAGCAUAUCUUGUUAAGCUUUGGAAUGAUGUGAGAACAUGGAUUGAUGUGAAAAGCAUAUGUUGUUAAACAUGGCUGCUGGGGUUGGGUAUGGAUUGGGUGAGGCCCAUAUAGCACCAUAUAGAACUAGACCCAACUAUGAGUGGGUGAAGGAGACUGUAUUCCAAACCGGCCUACAAGAGAAACGGUUUAACCCGAACUCAUCGACUUAGAAAUAAAGAGCUGUACUUGUCAAAUUGGUCUCCGUGUUACCUCCAUCAGCGAGAUUGAGUAGCGACUGAGAAUGAUUGGAGCUAGGGAAAGUGGGAGAGUAAUAGAAUGAGAAGAAAAAUGACAGUGCGAAAGAGAAACUUGUGAGCUGCCAUGAUCUGCUGGCUCAACGACUCUCGACCCAAAUCCCUGCGAGCCUGCCAGGAAUCAAAUGAUAUUUACCUUCCCUUAUGUGACCAAUGGGUUAAGCGUGUCGAGUUGUGUUGUGUCAAGUUGAACGAGGAGGCUGGUGCCGAGAUUGUGACUCCUAAUAACUAGCAUACCUUGAGAAAGCUGCUCCAGUCUGUGCCUAUAGGUCUUUGUCCAUGCAUUUUGAUGGAUAGAAAGAACCUUUUCUUUUUUCAUCUGGACGGGGUUCUUUUUUUUUGGUUCUUGCCAAUUAUCUGGCAGUAUACAUUUUACUACAUAUUUUAUGCUAAUAAUUACAGUCAGUCCAAGUUAGUCUGGAGGUAUUGGCUAUUGAUGCUGAUCUUUGCUUUAUUUGGUUAAAUAUGUAACUCAUAUCCAUUAUAGGUCAAAAAGUAAUUCUUCAAUUUCUGUAAAUUAAUCUAAAUAUAUCUUGAUAGAUAGGAUAUACAGAAAAUAGCAUGUCAGGAAAGGUAAUUAUUCAAAUGCAUUAGCCUUAUAUAUUCGUCACCCAUAGAAUUUUCAGCCUAUGUGUUGAAUAAUACUGUCUAGCAAAUGAACCUGCAGGUAUCAAGAGUAAGAUUGUUUCCCCAGUUGCUUUAGACUAUUAAGAGUUCUUUUCCACGUACCGGCCGUCCCUAGCGCAAGUGGCAAAGAGCUUGGUGGUUGGUACCCGAUGUCCCAAGUUCGAAUCCUAGUUGAUUCAUAUUUUCUAGCUAAGUUUAUUUCUAGAUGAAAUAAAUGAAGCGGGUAGCGUGCUACCUAUCUCUCAAAAAAAAAAAAGUUCUUUUCCACGUAGAAUUCGGAUUUGAUCAAUUAUAUUGAUUUUAAGUAUUUUUUUAAUUUGUGCGAUGAAACAUGUGAAUAUUCUAAGCUAUACCAAUUCUAUGCUAUUGGAAGCUUUGUAAUGCAUUACUUUUAGUUCUCAUUGUUCUCUUGCUACAAGCAGAUAUAUUGAAAUGACAGCUUGCUUAGAUUGUAUUUCUUCAUUGACAACUCAGGUUUGCACAAAAGUUAGAGCCGCUACAGAUGAAGAGCUUCCAUCUUCGUAUGUUGAGGAGUUUCGGUAUGUUACUUUAGUUUCAUAAUGACCUUAUCUGAAUUAUCCGGGUCUAUAUAUCUUUAUUGCUUGAAUAUUAUUUUUUAAUUAACAAUUAAUUCAUUGAUCGGCAGAUUUCUAUCUAGUCUUCUGCCUGUUAGUAAAAUGUUGAUAUCACAAUUUUUUAGUGAAAACCUUCCUAAAUCAAUAUAAAUUUUUUCUAGUCGUUUUCUGUGUUUCUUUAGAUUUCUUUUAUUUAUUUUCUGUGCCCAUUAAUGUAAGCUGUAUGGAGAAUUCCUGAUAUUGCUUGGAAAUGUAUGUUAUUAAAAGACUAUACAGUUUUCCAAAUGGGACUACCUGCUGAAUGCCCUGUUAAGAACAGCUAAAUCUUCACCAAGUACUAAACUGAUUGAAAGAAACCACUGCUACUGCUGUUGCUUACGUUUCAUUCUCUUCCUCGUAUCACCUUGAACAUGUGAAGUUGUAUUUCUUGAUUGGCAAGUUUGCAAUCUUUUGUAGUGCAUGUUUCCUCCUUUCUUUCUUCAACAUUCUUAAUUUUCGUUGUUGUAUGUGUAUGUCUAUGCAUAUAUCUUGUCGAUAUACUUGCAUACUUCACACUGCUUUACAAAUGUUUGUUGUGAUCACUAGGGAGUACUUUCAACAUGUAAAUUGAUUUUCUAGCGAUUGAAAAAUGCUGCUUUAUAUCAUUCUAUGUUACAUGUGAUAGGAUGGGAAUAUGCAAUGGAUUGUAUUGUUUAUUAUUCUAUUACCUCUAAUUAAUUAUGUGCCACUCUUGAUCUAAUAUCUAAUUCUUUUGUGGAUCAUAUUGAAACAGGAUUGCCUUGGAUAAUGAACUAGUGAAGUAUGUUAGUGAGACAUAUCCAAAAGGAAUAUGUGCAGUCUAUUGCACUGGUGGAAAACAUGUUGAAGGACCAGGAGCUGACUUUGGGUUUGCAAUAAUUAUUUCUGCCGCUAAGCAUAGCCCACAAAAUUUCUGGUGUGUGAAUUAUGUAAUCCUUUAGUUUGAUUUCCUUAUUUGAAUCCUGUUAUACUGGUUCAAACUCCAGAUAUAUUUUUCUAGUUCAUUUUCUUAUAGCUGGGUAACACAGCUUAUAUUCUUGACUAAGUCACGCAGUAGUGUUUUCUCUGAGCAUGAUGAUCAUAUUCAGCCAAUCUGUGAGCCUUGCUAGCAAACUAGUUGUUUCUCUUGCAGUAGGAUGCAUUAAUAAUGUUGUGAGAGCAAUAUAUGCAAUUAAAGACUAGCACACAUGGUUUGAUAAUCAGGAGAGAACGAAACAAACCAGAGAGUUAGUUUGUAGCAGGUACAUUGUGGAAAAAUGUCCUAGUAAUAUCUGUUGAUCAAAAUAAUUGAGAUGGCAGCAUUAGAGGCUCGAGGUCAACUUCUUCCACAGUAUAAAGUAGUUUGACAGCAGCUCUAGUGAUAAUGCAGAUGUUUGCUACUGUUUUUGUGUAGUAACAACAAUCCUAUGAUACUAUCACCAUUUGUUUGCACUUCUCAGAAUCACAAAUCUUCUUUUGUCAAUAGCCAUUUUAUUUAGUGUGUUUUACAUCCAUGUCAAGAGAUAUGGCUAAUUGUAUUUAGUCCAUAGACUGUUGCAAGAAGGCUUUAUGUGGAUAUGUUUCUCCCAAAUUCAAUUAAUAUUAAUUAUUAAUUAUUUAAAAGCCAUAGGAUUUUUUUCUUUUCUUUUCUUUUUUUUUUUGUGAUUUUGAUGAGCCACGAUAACUGAUUCUCCAGCAAUGGUAGCUGGCGCUCAAGUUGGAGUGUAGAUUUCAAGGAUGAUUUGCAACUCGUGGAAUUGAAAGGAAAGAUGCAGGUGGCAUAUCCAUACUUUUCACAAUCACUUCUAGCGCACGCAUUCUACACGAAUUACCAUUUAAUGAUCAUUUUUACUACUUGCACUUCAUGAUUGUCAGGUAGGUGCCCAUUAUUUUGAGGAAGGAAACGUGCAACUAGAUGCAAAUAAUGAGUGCAAGGACUCCACCAUAUUUCAGGUAAUCACUAGCAAACUACUUAAUAAAAUUUAAGAAAUAUGCUCGUAAAUGCAAUGGCAUGCUAUGAUAUUCCUGGUCACAGCAUAUGAUUUUAGAACAUGUACGGUGUAUUGAGAAAUUUCGCCUAACAAAUGGUGGCUGCAACCACUCAAUGGUAACCAAUAGCAAUUGCCUUCACCUAAUCCCUGCCACUUAUCAUCAUAUAUAAAGCAAUUGCCAUAGCAUACAAAUUCCUUUUACCAAGUCCAUGUUUUCUUGACCAUAGACUUGUUUCCUAGUGUGUUGGUUGUGCUAAUGUUCUCACAUGAAACUGCUGUUUUUCAGUCCCCUGAAGAUUGUGCUAUUUCAAUAACCAACAUGAUACGCCAUCGUGAGACUGAGUAUAUGACAUCUCUUGAGGUCUUGCCCUAUCUUUUUGGUUUAGCUAAGCCUAAUUCGAGGUGACCUAUUGAUUGAUACUGACUCUUCCUCAUUGCAGGCAUCUUAUUUAAAUUUACCUGACACCACUUUCAAGGUAUGUGGAGCAGUGAUAAGCUAGUUCUAAAUUUUUAUUUUAGGAAGUUCAAAUAGUAUUAUUUACUUCUUCGGGAAGAGCAAGAAAAUAUUAUCUCAUACUUGUUUACAAGGCCUCUCACAAUUAUGAUUUUGUCAAAUACAGUUGUGCUGCACUUGUUUGCCUUUUAGCUUUUCAGCUGCUUCUCUAUUUGAGAAGAAGCAGCCAUGAAUUUGGUAAAAGUUGAGAGCUCUAGGCUAUAGCGAGAUGCCAAAAUGAGGUUUUAUGUCUCAAAAACAGAAGUUCUAAUUUGAAGCUUCUAAUUUCUACCUUUAGCAGGAAGCUAUUGGGGUCAUUUUAACGAAAAGUUAUUACUGCUUUAUCAAACAGCUCCGCUCUCAUAGCAUCUGGGCUAGAGAAGGGCAAACAGUGUUUCUUUUAUCUUGCACUCUCCUAAUUAAGAAUUUUGGCAAUCUUGUUUGUCUAUUACCCUGCAAACUGUAAGAGAUUUUGAAAAUGUACCUUUGUAUUCUCAGCUGAUAUAUCUCAAAUCACUUGUAGAGCUAUAAACAAUUUGAUUGCUUCAAAACCAACUUGGUAGUGCUUGUGAUGCAGGAUCUUCGGAGAAAACUUCCAGUUACUCGCACUCUUUUUCCUUGGCAUAGUACUUUCCAAUUCAGCCUGAAUAGAGACCUUGCCAAAGAUCUCGGGAUUGGAAAGUGAAGGUGAGAAAAGAUUAAAAAAAAAAAAAAAAACCCGAAGGAAAGAAAUCGGCUUUCACUUAACAUUUUCACCUCCAGGCUUCUGUUUCUUGCGAAGUGUCAGAAAAUUUGACCUCUUGGGUCAUACCUUAGUUCUUCGAAAGCUGGAUCUAGCUCUUUUCAAGGUCAUGGGUUAAAAGUGAUGUCUAUGUUGAAUUACAACCAUUCGGCCUUGUAAGAAUCUCUCAUGUGAAUGUAUAUUGGAUACAGCACACAUCAUUUUCUUGUGAAUCUAUUGUAUCGAGAUUUUAUGUGCUUCAAAGCAGUGAAAGUUGCAUGGCAUGUUGUGUGAAGAAGGAAGAACUCGAUGGUUCUUGCAGAUUUUGCUCGCAACUCUGAAAAACUUGCAGUUGUUGCAGUUUCGCACACAGUAAUACCGUAUUUUCCGGCGGCAAUUUUUUUUCACCCUCCAAAUUGAUGCUGUGAUGAUGCUAGAAGACUAGGGAUGGCAAUCCAGCUCGUUGUUCGCGAGCCAGCUCGUGUUCGGCUCGAAAUGAGCUUGAGAUCGAAUCGCUCGUUUAGUAAACGAGCCGAACACGACUUGAAUUUUUCAUUUAAUAAACGAGACGAAUACGAGUUGGGGUCAGCUCGCUCGUGUUCGGCUCAAUAACGAUUCGAAUACAUAUAUUUUUAUAUUUAUAUAAUUUAUUUAAUUUAUAUAUAUAAAUAAAUAAUUAUAUAUAUAAUAUAUAUUUUUUUAUUAUUUUAUUUUUAGUAAAAUAAAAAUAUAAAGUCGAGUUCAAUUAUAAAAAGAUUCACUUAUAUAUAAAGUUUUAACCAUUUGAUUAAAUGAAUAAGAUUUUAUAAAUUUAAUUUUUAUACAUAUCCAAUUUAAUUCUUUUAACUUACUCGUAUUCGGCUCGUUUAUUAACGAGCCAAACACGAGCUAAAAUUUUUAGCUCGAUACUUAAAUGAACCAGAUCAUGUUCGGCUUGUUUAUUAAACGAGCCGAACAUAAGCAGGCUCCAACUUGCUCGUGUUCAGAUCGUGGACACCUCUAUAGAAGACUAUUGUUUGGGUUUGGAUAUAAAUAAGAGCUGCUUAUUUUAGAAAUAGAUAUAAGUUUAGAUAUAAAUAAGAAUUAGACUAAUUUUGCGUUUGGAUGAAAUUUGAAUUGUUUCUAAAAAUAAGAAAAUUAGUGGAAUAAAAAGAACCCCGUGCGAUCGACCACGUCGCCUUUAGCUGCUAGCCGUAAUAACUCGUACUAGAUAUGGUGAACUUUAUAAAUCUUUAGUUUUAAAUAUGUAAAGGCUAUAAUAAGAGAAUAGGUAGUUUCCCAAAGUUUUAAAUAUUAAAAUUACCAGCUAUACUCUGCAAAAGAACAAAUUGCUGCAUUUCUAUAAGUUUAGUUAACUUAAAAACAAUCUUUUAAAAAAUUUGAUAAAUUUUAUUCUAGAUAUGAAAACUAGAACUGAUGUUCUGAGGAUAGUAGUAAAAAAUUUCUUAUAAAUAAAAGUCGACAAAUAAAAACACAGGUGAGCUAUCUAUUCUUUUGUUAUAGCUUUUUCAUACUUCAAACUAAAGAUCUAUUAAGUUCACCAUAUCUAGUACAAGUUGCCACGGCUAGCAGCUAAACUUUCAAGGUAGUAGCUUUUAUUUAUCCACCGUUACUUUUGGCGAAUUGAUAUAUAUAUAUAUAUAUAUAUAUAUAUAUAUAUAUAUAUAUAUAUAUAUAUACUCUGGUCUAGGGACGCCCCUUAAAGCAGCUUGUGGAACGCGCGCGGCGGGCUCGUGGGCGUGGCGGGCAUGACNAUAUAUAUAUAUAUAUAUAUAUAUAUAUAUUAUUCUCCCUGUUAGCAUCUAUUUACCAAUUUGGCUUAAACCCGACCUAACCUGAUUUCAUGCCAACCAAAGAUUUUGGGCCUUUUUGGUCUAAGAACCGGUCCAUCGACAAGCCCACUAGAAAACUUCCGGUCCAGUCCGGUUUGGACCCGUCCGACCACCGGUCGAGCCAGUUUUCGAAUACACCGACUUAUAGGAUAGUAACGACGCCAUAUCCUACUUCCUUUUCCCUCUUCCCUCUACGCUAGGGUUUCGUGGUGCUCUGAUUCGACCUCUCCGCCGCCAUGGUGAGUUCUCUUCUUCCCCACAUAGGGUUUCGAACCUGUCUCGUUCUCUUUGAUCUAUCUCAUAUUCGUGGAUGGAACCCUCCCCCCAUUUGUUUCCUUUUGCCCUCAAUUUCGAUUCUUAUGGCUUUGCUUUUUUUUUUUUCUCAAUUUUUAGCCGCAAGGAGAUCACAUCGAGCUUCACAGGAAGCGCCAUGGCUACCGCCCCGAUUACUUCGAGCGGAAGCGGAAGAAGGAGGCUCGGGAAGUACACAAAAGAUCAGAAUAUGCUCAAAAGGUAAGGCCGCCAUAAACGCUUAAUUUUUUUUAGGUUUAUGUUCUUGUUUUCAAUGGGAAUCGCUUUCUCUCGAUGAUUUUCUGAUUUAUUAUGACUUUGUUUGUAUAGGCUCUUGGUAUUAAGGGGAAAAUGUUUGCGAAGAAAAGAUACGCGGAGAAGGCGCUGAUGAAGAAGACGUAAGCUUCGUUGUUCAUCUUUAAUUAUUUGAGCUGUAAAACGUAUUCAAAAUCUAUUUGGCUUCGUUUAGUUCAUGUGUCAACAAUUGUUGCUAAUUGCAGUCAUACUAGGACAUAAUUUGAGUAAAUUAAACCUGGGUGGUGAUUUCAAACCUUUUGAGAGUUGAGACGCAGCAUCGAUUUAGGCAAUUACAGGAAUUUGAAGAGUAAAAGAUCUUAGAAUCUGCUCAAUCUGUGAGCAUAUCAGAUUGCUACUAGAGAUAAGCUUAUGGUUAAGGAUUCAAGUGCUGUGGCAUCGGGUCAUGUAACUUGUGUUGAAAACUUGUUUGUAUUGUAUGUGUUGGUUACAAAAAUACUUACGUGUCCACACACUAUGACAUGAAAUAUUUAUUUAUUUUUUAACCUAAUGUAUUUAAGUGCUUAUGAUAUAUUUUUAUCAUAUCUUUUGUACUUUAUUGAGGCAACAACACACUAAUUUUCACAGAAAAAAGAGUUUUAAACUGUGCCAUUGGCACAGAGGUGGUAUUGUGCCAAUAUUUUGUCAGCACAGUGAGCAUAGCCCGUGCCGAUAGAUACUUAAAACCUUGCUUAUUAUGUUAUAGAAAUGUCCUUCUAAGUCAUCUGAUUCAGGGACGAAGGUAAUGAUUCGUAAUUGUUUAUAUUUAUCAAGAUUGUUCAAAUAGAGUAGACGACGAAAGUUAUGAUUGUUUAUAUUAACAAGAUUGUUCAAACAGAAUAGUGGGUACACUCCUUUUGUACUAUAGAAGGAUGUGAAGGAAGUUUGGAAUCUUUAGAUGCUAAACAUUUUAGUUUUCAUUCAGCUUGAUUGAUGCUUAUCUUGAUGAAACUCCAAACCUAUGAUCAACAAGUCAAAGAGGUCCAUAACCGAAAAAAGAUAUAUUUUUUACGGUCGAUGUGAAACUUCUUUCUAUGACCUGUAAAAGUUUGGGGUCAGUCGUCUUUAGUUAAUUGCUACUUUACAUACCUUAAUAUGUAUAGACAUGUUUGCUUUGAAGAAAUUAUGGAAAUUGCUGUAUCAAUCCUGCCUCGGUAAGCUGAUAAGCUAGUGCUAAAUUGUUUUUUCUUUUUCUUUUUCUUUUUUAUUUUACAGGAUUGCUAUGCACGAGGAGUCAUCAACGAGACGCAAGGUGGAUGAUAAUGUUCGUGAUGGAGCAAUUCCUGCCUAUUUGCUUGAUCGUGACACAACGACACGUGCAAAGGUUACUGGUUAUACUUAGUCGGCAUUCUCACUAUAUAGCAUGUUGUGAAUAUUUUAUUCUAGUUUGGCGAAUUGACAAUCUUUUUAAGUUUCACAGGUUAUCAGCAAUACAAUCAAGCAAAAAAGGAAGGAAAAGGCUGGCAAGUGGGAUGUUCCUUUGCCUAAAGUGAGUUUCCUUUAAAAUGAUUUCAACUGUUUCAUGUUGCAAACUUGCAAUAUAUUUGGCUGGUCUAUGUUAAAGGGAUCUGAUUUCUAAAUGUCACUAACAUUAGCAGAGUCAUAUCCUCUUCUAGUAUGUUGUACUCAAUACUCUUAUAUUCCUUAUCUUUUUAGGUGAGACCUGUUGCUGAAGAAGAGAUGUUUAAAGUUCUUCGCACUGGCAAGAGAAAAAGUAAGUAUUGCUGCUGAAACUUGAUUUCUUAAUCUGUUUCUUUUUCUGUAAUUAGCUAUGACUGUUCGUUUAGUCACUUCUAACAUCAAUAAAAGACAAAUCUAAGAUGAUUGUAAACCACCUGAACAUAAUGAUGUAUGAGAAAUGAUAAGUAGAAAAUAUUAGAACGACCUUUGCAAAGUAUCUGCUUGAUUCCUUUGCUGGAGUUAAACAUUGUAGUCAGGGUUUAUCUUAUCCAACUAGUCUGCUGCAUUUCAAAUCAAUCAUGUCUGCUUGAAUGUUCUUUUCUAUUUCUCGUUUUGGACCUGUUUAAUUCAUAUUUCACUUAGGAAGCUGAAGAGGCAGUGUAGAAAGUCCAAUCAUCAUAUCUUACAGAUAUAUUACAUUGCUGGACUUAGAACUGGUUUGAGUGUUAGAUUAACAGUCUUUAACUUAGUAUUAAUUUGAGCUCCUCUUUUUAAACGAAAUAAAGAGGGGACAGUGGUAGAUAAUCCUAUUAUUGUACCAAGCUCAAGGGAAAUAGAAGCUUAUGCUCGUUACUCGGUAUUGGGUAUGGAAGGUAUCCUUUAUUCUGAGGAUAACAAUGCUAUGGUGGUUGCUGGAAUAGCAAUAUCCCCAUGUAGGCCCCAUACAACAGCUAAUUUUCAUCUUUCCUAGACCUGAACAGUGGGAUAACACCCAGAGCUGAAGUCCUCUUUGAGAUUCCUCUGUAGUACAUACAAUGUGUGGACAUGCGCAUGCUUAAACUGUUAAUUAUUUGUUGUUGGUACUUUAAUUAUGAUCUUUGUAAGGUGAUUUCAGAAUUCAGAUUUUACGAAUGUUAUCUUUGUUUGUUCCUGAUAAAGAAUUUUUUUCUUAUGAAUGAUCACUUCAUGUUGUACUAUGCAUGAGGCGAACCUGCCAAUUGCACAACUUUUAAACAUAGGGAACCGCUCACCUUCUGAUUUAUCAUCUAAUCCUAUUGUUCUGCCAUCCAGCCAAGCAGUGGAAGAGAAUGGUCACAAAAGCGACCUUUGUCGGGCCAGGGUUUACGAGAAAGCCGCCAAAGUACGAACGCUUCAUUCGCCCUACGGGCUUGCGGUUUACUAAAGCUCAUGUGACUCACCCCGAACUGAAGUGCACUUUUAAUCUUGAUAUAAUUGGGGUGAAGAAAAAUCCUAACGGACCAAUGUACACUUCUCUUGGAGUAAUGACGAAGGGAACAAUCGUAGAGGUAUGAAAUGGGCACUUAAUAUUCUUUGUUCGUUUCAUUUUUCUUUCUUCCUUAGGGUCUUUAGGGUCUUUUUUUUUUCCCAGCUAGUUGUUGGCUAGCUGUUCGCAGUUUUAAAGCACCAACCUUGGUGCUCUUCGUCACUAUAGCUCUCAUUUGGCCCCCAUCAAACAUACCAGGGCCAGAUGGGCUUGUUAGUGCCUUUUUGAGCUGUCUUCAGAAUAGCUUCUGCACUUUGAAAAGCGGUAGCCAGGUGUCCAAUUAGUAGCUUUUUAUUCAGUACCUGUUACUCAAUUGGGCCUUAAUUGAAAACUGUUCUACGAAUGUCGAAUCUAUGAUAUUGUUCGGGAACUUCGUCUACUAUGCAGCAAUUUUCUCUGACGUAUUACGUUGCUGUCUCUCUAUUCAGGUAAAUGUGAGUGAACUUGGUCUUGUUACUCCUGCAGGAAAAGUAGUUUGGGGUGAGAAACUCAGCUCUACAUCUCGUUGAAGAUUUGCAUUCUCCUCUACUCUUUCUCUCUGAAUCCUAAUUAUUUUUCUUGUUGGUUGCAGGUAAAUAUGCGCAAGUUACAAAUAACCCUGAGAACGAUGGUUGUAUCAAUGCCGUGCUACUUGUAUGAGAAGUGCUUUUCUGCGUAGUAUUUACAGGGAUUUUAUGUGUUCUUUGUCCUUAACAUCUUAAUGUACUCUUCAUGGCAAAAUUUUGAUCGAGUUUGAUCUUUAUAACAGCUUAGUUCUACUCCUGAUAUUGUGUUUGCCCUUUUGCAGUAUGGCUAGUUACUUUUCGAACUCCAUUAUACCCAGGCAUUGUUUUAGCCCAAUUUAUAUUGUGCCUGGAUUGGGACUCUUUUAAAAUCUUUUUGUAAUCUCGGCUCGAAAUUUUUUUUUUUUUUUAAAAUUAUCAAAUUAAAUGAAACUGAGGGGUAGAAAACUUAAAAAAUUAUCUCUUUUUUUUUUUUCUGUGAUAUUACUGGAUUGUACUCUACUAUCCUGUAGUUUAAGAUUUAUAAAUUUAUAUUUUGUUGUUUUAAUUUUUAUUGGGGCUUGCUCUAAAGUAGUAAGUAACAAUGGCUCCGCACUUCAGGGGAAAGCUUUUGAAUUGUGCCUCUUGGAAGGCUUUUUAUAGAAAUUUUGCGCAAACUAAUGAAAGUGUACUUAUAAUUUAUAUAUGGCUAAAUUACAGAAAAUUUUUUUGUUAAAAUUCAAUUUUUUACUUUCUCUUUGUGUCAUUUAAAAAUUUAUAUUUUACCCUUUUGUAAAAUGAAAAAUGGCACUUCAUCUAGUGAUUCAUUAGGAUUUCGUUAUAAAAUAUUUUUUAUGUCAAAAAUACCCCUUCGUCUUUUUUCGUGUUGCUUCGUCUCCCUCUGGCUCGCCACUUUGCUGCCGUCUCGUACUCCUCCACUGCCUCGCCCUCGCCCACAUCCCCUUUGCCCUCCUUCGCCGCCUCGCUCGUUGCUCUUGCCUACCUCUCCAUCAGCGGGCGGCGAGAGUGCAGGAGGAAAUCAAGGCCGAUCGAGGUGUGAAUCGCGGCAGCGGGCGGCGAGAGUGCAGGAGGAAAUCAAGGCUGAUCGAGGUGUGAAUCGCGGCGGUUAAGAAAGAUGAGGAAGGAGACGAAAAUAAUGAGGGACAAAAUGGUCAUUUUACACAUCGGACGAAAAUAAUGAGGGACAAAAUGGUUAUUUUACACAUCGUACCUUUCUGUGAAUAUUUUUUAUUUUAUAAGGGGGUAAAGUGUAGGUUUUUAAAUGACAGGGAGAAAAGUGAAAAAUCGAAUUUUGACAGAAAAAUUUUACUAAUUUAGCCUUUAUAUAUCCCUUAUAUAUUAUCCGUGUUUAGCUCUCAAUGUAACUAAUGAAAAUCUACUUAUAAUUUUUCUAUUUUCAAAAAUAUUUUUUUCAUUUUUAGACGAGUAAUUUUAAUAUAGGAAUAAUAUUUAAUAUACCCGUCAAAAUUUUUAAAAUAUUUUAUACAUUUUUAUUCUUGUUUUGUUUCAAAUAUAUUCCUUCUUUCUUUUUCAAAAUAAUUUGCUGUUAAUACUUGUUAACUCAUAUUUAGUUAAAACAUGAGUUUAAAUUUCUACCCUGGUAUAAAAAAAGUCAAAAUAUCUAUUUUGCUCCUAACUUAAAGGUAAAUAAAAAAAAUUGGCGACUUUAGAAGACUAUUUAAAAAGAUAAAAAAUCAAAAUACUUUUUUUACUCAUAAUUUAAGGGUAUAUAAAAAAAUUGAUAAUUAUAGAAGAAUAUAUUUGAAAGGACAAGAUAGUAAUUUUAUUGAAAUAACAAUUGUUUCUAGUAGUUCACUAGUAAAAUUUAACUUUACUAGUAUAUUUAAAUAACUCAGAAUGUUAAAAGUAUAUUUUUAAUAUUAGUCUUUUAAAAGGAGUAAAUAAGUAAGUUUGAAUUUUUAAAAAAUAUAUAAACAAUUGCCUCUUUAAUAAAGCUAUUCCUUGAGGAACUAUGUCAAAGGCGGAGGGAUUCAUGUGAAAUUAUGUCAAAUAUUACAAUUAAAGGGUUAAUUUAAAAUUUUGCCAUAGUUAAGGGGGAUCGAUGCGUUAUUAUCAUCAGUAUUUGUAUGCAACAAGAGGUACAGUAGUUAGUGUUCUUUCGAGUCGACGCGGAAAUUUUCGUCCUCGCGGCGAAGCCCUCUCUCUGCUCACGUCCGUGCGAUUCUAGGGUUUCAAGAAUCCUCGUUACAGGCACCAAAACCUAGGGUUUGCUCUCUCUCCCUCUCAAAUCCCUCGAUCUUGUGAUUCCUUUAAUCCCUACUCUCUCAAAGCGCGGAUUUAGAAGAUUAUUUGAUCUUUUUACGAAGGAUCUCUAUCACUGGUUUCAGGAGUACUUCCUCGAUCCGUGCGGUUUAUUACAGCCCAGGAAAGAUGGUGCGUUUCUUUUCGGAACUAAUUUUGAUGUGUUUUUUUUUUUUUUUUUUUUUUUUUUUUUUUUUUUUUACUUUUUGAUCUAAUAUUGAAUCUUUUGGUUUGUUUGCAGCUUCCGCUGUCACUUUUAAAGACGGCUCAAGGGCAUCCCAUGGUAGGUGUUUUGGAUUUGGGUUUUGAAAGGUCUUUUUAGGUCGAUUAGGGUUUUGAAUUUGUUGGAUGUGCUUUGAUUGGAUCAGCUGGUGGAGUUGAAGAACGGGGAGACGUACAACGGGCACUUGGUGAAUUGCGAUACGUGGAUGAAUAUUCACCUGCGCGAGGUGAUCUGUACCUCAAAGGUGACUCCUUUCUAAUUUUGUUUCAAGUUCGUGAUCUCUGCUCCUUUUCUUUUAAUUUUAUCUAUUGCUUAUAAAAUGUUGUUGUGGUUGUAGGAUGGUGAUAGGUUCUGGAGAAUGCCCGAAUGCUACAUUCGUGGGAACACUAUAAAGUAUCUGCGAGUUCCUGAUGAGGUUUGAGUAAUGAGAUCUUUUUCUAAAGAUGUUUAUUAGUUUUCUAAUUAUUUGCAUUUCAUCAAGCUUCUAAUGGAGUUUUUGUUUGUUGCUGCAAGCAUGUUUCGUAAUUAAUCACACUCUAAUUUGAUAAUUGUAAACUUUCGUAACAUAUCUUACACUUUGAGUAAUUAUCCCACUGAGCCGAUGGACAAAUCUUUCUUGAUUAGAGCUUUAUUUCUCGCAAACAGUCGAGAACCUGAACUGUUGAAUCGUGUUAAAUUUCCCAUCUCAGUUAUUUUGAUUGAACCAAUUAUUUUGUUCAUUUUGUUUUCUUCAGCCUAGUUGUUUUGUGUUAGACGGUUAGUGUUUCAUUUUUUGGGCUAUUCCAGUGGCAAUUCUUGAGUCAGUCAAAAAUAAUUUUCUCUUGAUAUUGCAUCGAAAAGGAAUUUCGUUUCACUCUGCUUGUAAAAUUCUCUACCUUACAAUCGGUUAUCAAAUGAAUUUAUUAAAAUAAAUUUUCUUAUAAAAGACACUAUUUUGCUUGAAUUUUCUUUUGGAGUUGGCAUUUUUUUUUUUUUUUGUAAUUGACACAAGAUCGAGUGUGAUCUCAUGCUUUCCUUUCCUUUUUAAAAAACUUGUACUUAGAUGAGUACUUCAUUAUUGGCAGAAAGUUAUGCCCCGAUCAGAUCAGUCUGGCCCCUAAUUUGGUGUAUUUGAUUAUGAUUAUUAGACAGUUCAUGAACUUCCAAGCCCUUCUAUAGUACUUUUUCAAACGGGAUGGCAUUAUCUUUCUUUAAUUACUUAGUUUGGUUACAACAUUUUUUCUAGGUCAUUGACAAGGUUCAAGAAGAAACCACGAAGAGCCGUUCAGGUAUUCCUCUCAUCCUUCCGUAAGUUAAUGAAAUUUAGGGCCUGUUUAUUUAACAAGAUCUUUUUUUUCUCGCUCUUCAUAGUUUGAUUGCGCUGCCAUGAUAUUUGAGGCUUAAAGUAUGUUUAUCUACUUUUUCUUAAUUUCCAUUCUAUAUUGCCUUUCUAAACUCAGGCGUGUAGUAUCUGGGUAGUGGAAGAAGCUUGGUUCGGAAAAAAAUUUGUAGCUCGAUAUGUUUAUUUUCUUGACUUUGAAAUUUUGGGAAUGGUAUAAUCUCAAACAUGUCCCUCCUGUCCAACAGAAUACAAAAUAAACAUAUUUUAACUUCUUUAACUAAUAUAAAACGUAAUUAAAAUCGAAUCACCAGCAAAUAAGUACAAUAGUUACUGCAAGAAAUUGGACUUAUUGACUGUUUGUAUUGAGCGAGUCAAAGCUUUUUUUUGACUGUUUGACAUAAUUAAACUCUGUCAGAAAUAAAAUACUGAACCUCAUUAGCUGCUCUUUUGCUUAACUUUCACCAUUGGCUAAACUUAGUGAAUAUGAAUUUUCAGAAGAAAAGAUAAACAUAUCAGUCUGCUUAAAUGGAAUUUAUGUUUGUUGCACCUUACUAAGAAAAACACUAUUUUAGAUUACAUAUAAGCUAAUUUAAGGGCCUUUCUGGAUGUUAAAACAAGUUAUACAGGAUUAAGUGUGUUGCAUCAGUGUUUCCUUUACUGAUUAUGAACAAGUGCUUGACAUUAUUACCUGAUCCUGACAAUCAUGAUUUAAUGAAUAUAGUAUCUUGCCUCCCAGCAAGAUACUAUCCAUAGAAUGGAAUUACUUAUGCCGCCUUGCUUGCAUCAUCUUUUAUUGCCUCCCACCAACCAACGAAGAAAUGGUCCUGGACAAGUUAUUCGAAGCAGUGUCUGUGUCUCCUAGCGGCCCGCAUAUUUCUCUUGUAUUGAUCUAUCUUGCUUGUUUGCAGAUCGGAAACCACCUGGCGUAGGCCGAGGAAGGGGAAGAGGGAGAGAAGACGGAGGCAGUGGAAAGCCCGGCGGCCGUGGAAAGGAUGACGGGGGCGGCAAGGCUGGUGGCCGCGGAAAGGGUGGAGUAGGUGGGAAAGGUGGCGGCGGAAGAGGUAACUCUCUUCAUGCUUUCUCUGAUCAUGAGGAGAAGUACUUCAAGCUAAUUCUUUCUGCUUUUGAGUAGUAAUACUUAUUUCUUUAAUGGAAUGUAACUUAACAGGCGGAGGACGUGGCCGGGGCUGAUGAGGCCUCAACUUGGAGAGGAGAAUGCCGCUUUUAAAAGGCUUUUCUUUCGGUUUGCAUAGCUAAGCUUAUGAUGGGAAGAAUGCAUUAUUGAUGGCGCAACAUUGCUUCCACUAUAUUUUAUUUUUAUCAACUCGUGCUAGUUUAUGGUCGGUGGAGAAUGCUAGAGAGGAUCUGUAGUUGGGAUGAGGAAGGAAAUUGUGUUCAAGCUGCUUUUCUUGUUUUCGUUUACUCUCUAUGAACAUAAGAAACGUUGGAUGCAUAACCAGUUAUACAACUCUUUCUUAACUUAAAUUCGUGUGCUUCAUGCAUCUUUAUCGGCAUACUUCUCUUAAACUAUAGCAAUCUCUAUGUUUAUGCUCGACCUGAGUUAGAAUGCCAUCUUGUGUCUUUACUGGUGCUGCAUAUAAUCUUAACUGGUGAAAUACGCCUUUUGUACUGUCUCAGUAAACUUGUCAACUUUGUUUCUAUUCUGCUACCUUUCGUGAUCGGGAUGGAAUCAUCACGGAGUUGUUAUGGUAGUUCAGUGAAGUUAGUGUAUUAUACCAUUUCCCAAGUGAGCAAUUUGAGAAAUUUUAUAGCAACCCAGUCAUCAAUAUUGCUGCAAUACUGGGGCAAUUUGCUAUCUGCACCACAAGCUAGCCUCUGAAGAACCAAUCAUCUCGAUUUUUUGUAUUCAGGAAGAUCCAUUAUACAUAAUAAUAUAGCAAUUCAUAUGUUCCAAGAAUGGGAGGAGAAAAUGAUGCAGCUUUAACAUUAGGAUAUGGCGAAAGGGUUUGUCCAAGGAACUAAAUUUCGUGGUUCUCUACUCGAGUUACACAGUUUGAAUGCCAUGAAUGUAAGAAAUUCUUUACAGUUACAGUAUGUUACUAUAUGGUCAGGAGCAGGCGAGGGCGUCGGGAGAUCAUAUAACCAGCAAGGCUUUAGGAAAUGUUGUUAUCUCUGAGAAUUCGGUGAUCCUGGAGAUGGAGCUGGAACUUCACCAGUCGUUCUUGAAGGUUGGUGAGAUCGGCAGCUUUGCGAGAUAGCAAAAGGCUUAACUGCGCCACAUAUUUGUCGAUAGGGCUCCCCGGUUUGUCCACUUCCACAAGCAGCUUCAUCUCCUGGUAACACAAAUGAUUUUUCAGCGCAAGCACCUAAUGCAUAAUGCAUUUCGGAAUUCAAUGUUUGGAGUACUUCUAUGCUAGAUCUGCACUUUUAAGUAUUUGGAAACUUUUUAAGUAUGCAUCAAGCAAUAAAAAGUAUGGCAUAAACAAUGCAAACUAUCAGGGGGUUAGUACUGCUAAAAAGUUGUGAAUUGUCGCGAACUUGCGUAAGAAUUAUGUAACAUUUCAACAGAGAUUAAAAAGAUUCUCGCUCUCACAGUUUGCGAAAAGUUCUAGUUAGACUUACUUCAUGCAUAAGAUCCAUUGUAUUUUCCAGUAGAUUAACAUGGGCAGAUAUCAGAGCAUCCUCUUCCUGCGCAGGAAAGAAAUGGAGCACAAGAUUCCAAGUCAAAAUAACAGAAAUGACUUUUUCUCGUAAAAAAGCAAAACCAUUAAGUAAUAUAGAUAUUAGAGACUUUGAAUUGGACAUACUGGGUUAAUUUCGCGCUCCUGUGACAGAGUUUCCUCUUCAUGUAGGCUUACUGAGAUAUUUGAACCACGAUUGCGUAUCUGUUGUUCUUCAUGACUUUUGGGGAACAAUUUAGAUGCGCUAUCUUUCUUAGUACUGAUCUGAAUCUCACUUUUCUCUUCCUCAUUUAAUUCUCUAGAAGGUGAGGAAACUGCUGGGCUGUUUUCCCUCUCAUGCAAAUUCAGUGUACCAUGCAUACUGGAAUCUGAUUUACAAGUCGAAUUAUUACAAUAAGAACUUUCUAUGUCAUUCGUGGCCAUCUCAAGUGUGGGGGAUCUUGGACUGCCGUCUUCUGUUCUGCUAGAGUUGUUUCCAGAUUUCGAGCUGAAACUAUCGGUAGUUGAACUUACUCCAUGCAUAAUAUUAAGUGUAGUUUUUGUCCAUUCCGAGUAAGACGAUACUCGAGGAUCCUUUUCCUGCAAGAGACAAUAAAAAGGUAGGAAGAUGAAACUUUUCUAAUCCAAGUGUAGGAAACCAUAGGCUUUUAAUAGAUGGAUGCGUUUGUACCUCGACUAUGGCGUUGAUAUCUUGCUCCUGAGGCAGUGAAUAGUUCGUACUGUAAUCCGGUUUGUCAUUAUUGGAUGUACAGCCACGAGUAUCUUGUGUGUUAUUUUGACCCUUCUCGAGCUUAUCGUAAGCAAUACCAUCAUCUUUCCUUUCAUUAGAGUUGUCCUCAGACAUAAAGCUGGAUAAGUUACUGUCCCCCUCAGGCAUAGAAUCCUGAGAUGGAGCUUCCUCUUCAUAUUGCCUUACCGAAGUAUUCGAACAAGGAUCAUGUAUCUGAUUCUUUAUGUGGCUCUUUGCGGCCAUUUUAGACCCACUUUCUCUUUUAGGCGAGUUGCUCCUUAUCUCGCUUUUUUCGUCCCUCAUCAAGUUUCUAGACGGUGAGGAGACUGAUGAAACAUUCUCAUUCUCGUGGAUAUCCGAUGAUCUUGGUGUUGUCGAGCCUAAUUUAUAAGUAGAAGAAUCAUUGGAAGUACUUUGCAUGUCAUUCCGGCCCAUCGCAAGUGAAAGAGAACUCGACUCUGAGCUCACACUCUUGGUUGUUGAAUAAACAUCGCAGGCAAUAUCUGUUAUGUUUUCUCUCUCGUCCCAACGAGAAGUUAUUAGAUCAUCUUUCUCCUACAAAAGAGGAAAAAAGGGAGGAGAAACUCGUGUUUAAAACGUAAAAUGAAAAACACAAUUCUGUAGUUUCAAAAUGUAGAAUCGUUGGUUUAAAUAACUGUAAAGAAAAUCUGCUUUUACCUCCUCACGGCGCGGUCCUUCCUCACCAUAUUGGCUUACUGCGGUACUCGAAGAAGAACCAUGCAUCUGCUGUUUUUCAUAGCCUUUAGGAGAAACUAUAGACCCACAAUCCUUCGAAGAACAAGAGUGUUUCUCUUUGAGUUUGGGCUUUUCGUUGUAAUAGAUAUUCAGCGAAAACUGUGCUGUAGCAUGUGUUUUAUAGCCAGAAGAAGUAUUUUGUCUGUUAUGUUGAUAAAUCUCGAGCACAUUCGAACUGGUCCCACCUACUUCCCUUCUGCUAUAGUCGUAGUUUGGCUCGAACCUGAAGGAGUUAUUACUAUUCUCAGGCAUAGGAUCAUAUUUGUUGUUUUCUAUUUUCCGCCUAAAGAUUGUAGUAUCUUCUUCCUCUUCAUUGUUUUGCUCGUAAGUAUCCUCCGAUUCGACUAAGAAACGAAGUGGUGGUGCUAAAGGCGACUCCUUUGACAGGCUUUUAAACCUGUCAAGUGAGUAACCGAUGUUUAGCUAUUUUUGAAUUUGGAACUUCAAAUUCAGAAAUUAGAUACUCACCUAUCAGCAUAUCUCAAGGUAUUCAGGGUAGGCUCGCAGGAACCUGUACUCGGAGAAAUACAAGCUAUCAUAACAGUCCUCGAAUUGCCGACAAAAGAGUCGCGAAGCACCUCAGUUAGUUUGCUCCCGCGGAAGGGGAUAUGAACCUGAUCAUUGUCGAGGGCUCGGAUGCACUCCUUUAGGGCCAAGAGGCUUGUUUUGAUUUCAGCUCCCUCAGUACUAGUACUCGAAGGACGAAACUAUGCGUCAGCGCAAUAUACUUAGGGGUCUUUUUGAAAAAGAUAAAAAAGAUAAAAGUUUGGUUCUUCUUAUAAAAAGAUCUUUGAUUUCUGUAAUUGUAGCCAACAUGCUGCAUGGUUUGAAUGAUCUAUGCAUAGUUCAAACAAACGUAGCAGUAGUCCAUACUUUUUCAUCGAUAUUUCAAAACUCUGUCAUGGUUCUUGGAGUUUUCAAACAGUAGGCUAUAAAGUAGACAAAAAAUGAAAAGAAUCGUUUCAUUUUCGGCCUUGAUUAGUGUUAUACAAGAUUUAACAUAUGACAAAUCACCAAUGAAAACUCUUUAGGAAAAUCAAUAAGUAGAUGCAAAACCUUUUAAUUCGGUCACUGUCGAUAGAGUCAGCCCCACGUUCCGUUCCAGCGAGAUCGAUAAACGAUAUUUUGCCAACAAGCAUGCCGCCCUUUGACACACUCUUUUUACUGUUUCUUUUUGCGUCAUUUACGUCGUCCUGGUCCUUAAUAGUCAGUUGUAGAAUAGCAUGGGAUCUUGAUGAUUCGUCAUUGGCUCCGGUAGACCCUGUAACUCUCGCAGAAUUUCCUUUCUGGAUAAGUUCUUCAACAAUCUGCAUAUCCGAGACUUCGUAUUCCUGCAAUCCGACGAUGCGCACUUGCUGACGGCCAUCUUCUCUCAUGCACAAUUGCCUGCAAAAGAUCAAUUAGGCCAUAAAAUUAUAGCUGAAAGAUAUAUAUUCUGAUUCUGUUCCUGAUAAAAGCCGAAUAACCAAUAACAAAAACAAAGAGAGAGGACAUGAAUCUAGUUGGAUAUGUAAAAACAGUAAAAGAUGAGAAAAUGGAACCAGAAGAGAGGUUCAAGUGAACUGAACCUUCUAUCAUUAAGAAGGUCGAAAAGCUUCCCGCAAUAGAUCUCAAAGUAACUGAGCCACAAUUUCAAGUUCUGAUUGCGGUAGUUCGUCUGACGCAACAAUCGAAAAAUAUCUUCUGAAGCUUUUAGGGGCAAGGGUUGCAUUGUAAAGGUUUUGCCGCUGCCUGAAAACCAUCAAGCCAUUCUACCGAUAAGCAAAUACUUUAUCGCAACCAGCAACCAAAAAGUAAUCCAUGAGGCAAAAGAAAAAGCAAGCAUUUAUCAAUAAAAUACUGCUGCAUGGAGUAAGUUUUUCCCCAUAAAUGCCAAUUCUGCACUGAAUGAGAUAUUGAGAUUAACCCUUCAACCAAACUGACAAACUUUUAUCUAAUUCCUGAUGAAAUUAGUUUGUUGAAGCAAAUUCACAUAGUUACCAUCAAGAAAGUUUCUUUUUCCAAAUUUUUAUUAAAUCUUUAUGAAGAAAUGAAUUUCACGAAUAUAAAGUCGACUAAUAACUUCCAUUACACCUGUACUCAAUGAGUUCAUCAGGUCAACACGACACCGACCAUGCACUCAUUUAUUCUGAAGAAGUAAUGCACGUCGGUAAGCAGUAAAGUACACACAUGAUUAGAUUAUUCCGCUAUGUAACUCGCACCUGUUUGCCCGAAUGCGAAGCAUGUCACUUUUCCUCGCUGGAAGAUUGCUGGUACAAUUGGCUCCACUGUGACGCUGUAAACCUGAUAAAUAAACGAGGUUAUAAUACAAGUAUUAUUAUUAAUAUAGCUAAUGGUGAAGAGUAAGAGGACCGAAAGUAACAGACGUAGCGUGGUGCAACGCAAGUUACCUCAUCAGUGGUGGCAUUCUCAUCCAGAACAGCAUCAAACCGAAAUUGAUGUUUCUCCACGUACGCGGUCAAAUCUACCUUGUGUGCCAAAAAGUAUUUAAUCAGAUAUUGCGACAGAAUAUAAAUGAGAGAAUGUUUCUGUCAGAAAAAGUAAACACAUAUGUUUGCUGAUAAAAAGAUUCGCUGAAGUAUCAGAUAACUUCAGCAAAUGUCAGAAUACAGGAAAUGGCAAAGAACAACAAACCUUUAAUUUAGGCUCUUGUAUAACUAUAUGCGCAUUAUCGUCUACACUGAUGAUAUCGCCCUCCUUCCUAGAAAUCUCCUUCUUACUGAGGGGCCUUUUACGAACCUGAAACAUGAUGAGUAAGAUAAGCUUAUUUACAGUGUGUGUAUAUCUACAAGCCAGUGCUUGGGGUAAUAUCGACAGAUACCGACACAAAACCAUGAUAGUUAUUAUAUAAUCAUCAAAUUCGCACAAGGUCAGAUGUUACGUACAAGUUGGCGAUACAUGUGCAAAAUGAUUCUGAUAAAUAGAAAAGAAACCUUAGAACAUUCUAGUCUCAUAUUUAAAGCAUAUGCAUGCAUUGGCAUGAAAAAUCAGUAUUGACUCGUCGUACCACAACGCGAAUCUUAGCCAUCUUUUUCUCCUUCGAGGCAAUAAUCUCCUUCGCACCAACCGAUGCUCUGUAAUUGCAAUCUGACCGGCCUUCUAAAUUUUGCUCCCUGAUUGCGGAAUCAAAAUCAUUACUCGCUCCCCUUGAUGGCGCAAAAAGUGAACGGUUGAACGGUUCAGCCAUCACAUUCUGCAGAAAAAUAGGACUUAGCAUAUUCGGUUAGAUACGGACUCGACCGCUACAAGUUAACUAUCAUAUCAAACAGAUGAUAUUGCAAUUCCUAACUUCCUCUCUGAGCGAGGAUUUAGUUCAAUUUCUGUUCUGCUAUCCAAUCACCACCAACUCUAAUUGGGUUCAAAUUUGAUUUACAAAUUUAGUCAAAUUAGUAAAUCUGCGAGAAAGACCAAGAAAGGAAAGAUCGCACCUCAGAAAGAAGCUCGGUGUCGUCCAUAGCAUGAAGAUCGAGAAGCCCAGUCCCUAACUUUCCCGUAAGUUUAGGUGAGCAAGAGCCAUGUAUCGCGCCUUCAGUCGCGACAUCUUGUUCUGUAGUGUAACUAGCGUCGUACGCGUCAGGACCUGACUGAGUACUAAAAUUCGAGUUCGUCAAUAGACUAGAGAGUAGGCGAUUGCCCUCGGCGAUCUGAGCUCCAUAACCCUGCCGACAAUUCGAGAUUAAAUGAAGUAGCUCUCAGCAAUGCAACAUUGACUUGUAAAAACAGCUUUGAGCUUCGAAAAAUUCAGAUGCUGAAUUAGAAAAAUACACGAAAACGAGCGACGGGAACGAAGAGUCGAGAUAACGUAGUACACCUGAAGUUCUUAGAAAUUUUGAAAGAAAAGCUUUUUUGCUACCAUUUUGGUACCAAGCUACUUAUUAGCCAAACCUUGGUUUCAUCCCCCUUAUUUAGUUCUCAACUCAUCUUCAGCACUUAGAAUUUUAGUUAUAAAUCUGUUACAGAUACCAUAAAAAUCAGUAGUCCUAAAUUUCAUUUACGACAUUUAACCACACUGUUUCAUAUUCACGAUAAAAGCUACAAAAUUUGUCUACGCUUAAAUGCUGUAGGCGGAGAAACGCUUAGACAUUAUAUACAUGUCAUGAUUCUUGUUUCUGUUCGCGGGGCUAAUGGUUUAUUUGGCACUGCUUCUGCUUCUGCUUCUGCUUUAAGCUGUCGUGACCUACAUUUGACAAUCAAAAAGUCGAGAGCUUCUCCUACAUUAAGAAUCAUUUCAAUACGAUUUUGAGGUCUAAAAGUAGAAUUUUCAAUUUAGAACUUCUAACCGUAAAAAGAAAAAGUGUUUCUCCUAAUAGCACUGCUCAGAGAACACACCAUUGAAGUACAAUCUCCUGCUCUUAACUAUCGUAACGAGGAAGGAACCGAAUCAAUGAAUUCACAUAAAAUGAUUGUAGACCUGUGCGAGGAGCGAGCGGAGGCGGCAGUGGUGGUCGGCGGAGGCGGCAGACGACGCCAGGUGCUGGAGCCCCGCGUACUGGAGCCACCGCACCGUCACCGCGUCCACGCUCUCCGCCGCCGCAGCCCCCGACCCGGCCCCGGCUUGGCAUGUCGGCGCCUUCGCCUUCGCCGCCGCCGGAGAUCGCCGGAACUUCAUCGAUCUCCCCCCGCACCAAGAAGAGCUCAACGUUACCGCAUUGAGAUUCGAGCGCAAGGGUUUGGGUAUGACGAGGGGGAGUGAGAUUUUUUUUUUUUUACUCUUUUUUUUUAAAAUUUUUGAGAUUUGUGGGGAUGACAUGCCGAGCAGUCAUGCUGCAUCUUCUCUUCGCGUUGACAGAAUGCCGUGGCGGUUGUCGUUGUUUUUCUUCUUCUUCUUUUUUUUUUCCCCUCGCAAAACGGUUGUGAAAGUGUAAAGACAUUUUUGCCCCUCUGAUGCUCGCGUAUACGCCCCUGAGCCUUUUUUUUUUUUUUUUUUUGAAUAUUAUGUUCCACUAGGUCACCGAAUUUUAACACCAAAAUUUUAAGUUAUGUCUUACUGAGAAUAGCACACGACGAUAGAAAUACUGUAACACGUUAAAAGAUAAUUUUUAAGUAGGAAUGAGGAUAUACAUUUGUGAUUCGUCGUAUAUGUACGUAUUUUAUCAAGGACAAGGACAGAAGGGAUAUGUUUGUUUUGAUAGCACAAAAUACUUGUGGCAUCUUUAAGGUGUUUCUCUUUACACUCGGUUUUUUCUAAAAUAUUUAAUUUUUAAAGUUUGAUUUGUAAUAAUUUUGGUUCGAACUUUUAAAAUUAUUGCAACCAAAUCUGAUAAUUUUAAAAGGCUAAAUAUCAAUAACUUAUUAUUAUUAUUUUUUAGAGAAAGGUAACACGCUAUCUGCUUCAUUUAUUAGGUAAAUGAACUUAGCUAUAUAAGAUGAGGCAGCUAGGGCCUCAAAUAGGCGACUAAACGAAGGAGAAAGAAACUAAAAGAAAAAGUAAAAGAAUAACAAAAAAAGAACAACAAAGAACAAUAACCAACGUCACCCUACUCUGCAAAAAUCAGUCAACUCCUUCACUAGAGCUUUAAUAUGAUGAGCAGUAGAAAUAGCAUUCAUGGGCAAGUUUCGGAAAAUAAAAUUAUUUCUUUCGCACCAAAUCGUCCACCAGAUGGCCGCCACAAGAAUUUGAGACUUCAACGUGUCCGUCUUUGACCGCCUCCUUAUCAACUCUUUCUAAACGAACUUGACAUCCUCACAUGAUGGGUAGACGUAGGGCGCCUCUAGGAGGGAAAGAAAAAGAAACUUGCUGACUACACGCUCCGCCAAUAAGUGGUCAACUGUUUCCAGUUCAUUGCCACACAUGACACACGCAUUGAGACCUGCCCAACCCCUUUUAAGUAGGUUAUCUACAGUAGGGAGUCUCUUUUUUAAUACUAGCCAGAGAAAAAAUUUGACUUUCGUCGGAAUUUUCAGUCACCAGAUAGCCGGCGUCACAACAUCUUUGACUCCUCCAGUCCUGAUGAAUGAAUACAUUGACUUGGCUGAAUAUUUACCACCUGAAUUCCAUCUCCAUUGUACGACAUCAGGUUGAUUUACAACCCGUAUGCUAGAUAGGGUGUUCUUCAACUCCAUAACACGCUUUUUACUAUACAAAGUGUUUCGCCUCGCUCCUCUCAGAAUCUUUCUCCACCUCCAUCCCGAGGCAGCGAAGCAAUCACAGACCCUCACUUCUUUGCGAUCCACAUGGGAAAAGAUAUCUAGGAAGUAUGACUUUAGGGAUGCGUCGCUACACCAUCUGUCAGCCCAAAAAUCAAUGAGUAAUCCAUCCCCCAGCCCGUAGCUCAAUCCACUUUUGAAGACUUCCUUCAAAUUUACCACGUUUUUCCACCAUUGUGAGGCCGGUCUAAAGGACCGUUCUUCGGUCAGCGGUCGUCUUCUGUUAUAGUAUAAGCUUCUGAUCAACUUAGUCCAAGGUAAACCCCUUUCAGUGAGAAAACGCCACCGCCAUUUAGAUAAAAGUGCAUCAUUCAUUGUAGCCAAAUCCUUCACACCUAAGCCUCCGUCCUUCCGACUCAUACACACGUUUUUCCAAGAAACCCAAUGGAUUCCCCAGCAUAGUUUAUCUCUACUUUCCAAAAAAAGUCUCUUCGCAGUGCCUCCAAACGCUUUAAGACCCAUUUUGGUGCUUUAAAAAUGGAGAAAAAGUGCAUCGGCAUAUUAGAAAGAACAAAAUUGACCAGAAUCAACCUGCCGCCUCUAGAAAGAAGUUUAGCCUGCCAACCAUCGAUCCUCCUUUGGAAAUUAUUAAUGACACUUACCCAGUCUUCUUUUCUAAGUUUCCUGUGAGUUAACGGUAGGCCUAAGUAUCUAGUUGGCAAAUUUCCAACUUUACACUGCAAAAUGCCAGCGAGUCUAGCGUCUUUUCCGUUCUUUCCCCCCAUGUAAAAAAGCUCUGACUUCACUUUAUUAAUCUUUAUCCCAGAAGCCCACUCAAAGAGAUUCCACAAAAAUUUAAGGUUGUACAUAUAUCUCUUCCUCGCCUCACAAAAGAAAAAAGUAUCAUCUACGUAUUGUAUUAAGGUUACAGCGCUAUCUUCUGUUGGUCCGAUUCCCUUAAGAAGAUUAGAUUUUUCAGCCCUAUCAGUCAUCCUGGCGAGACACCCGACCACAAGUAAGAAGAGAUAAGGUGAUAGCGGAUCGCCUUGUCAUAAACCUCUUUUAGAUUUGAUCCAAUUAGUUGCAACGCCAUUGACUAAGAGAGCCAACUUAGAGUUACAAAUGCAUUCACAAACCCAACCACACCAUUUCUCAUUAAAGCCCAACAAUAUUGAUAAAUUAUUAUUAAUAUAAAAGUGAUGUAAUAUCUUAAAUAUUGUUGCAUCAUCAAUUACAAUAUUUUCAUAUCAUUUCUACAUCAAUAAUUUAUCAACAUUUAGCCAUUUAAAUUAGAUUGUGGAAUCUGAUUGCAACAAUUCAGAAAGUUAAAACUAGAAAUUGCGAUAAUUAAAGUUUGGGGACCUGACCGACCGUCCCUAGAGCAAGUGGCAAAGGGCUUGGUGGUUAGUACCCGAGACCCAAGUUCGAAUUCUAGUUGAUUCACAUUUCCAGCUAAGUUUAUUUCUAAAUGAAAUAAACGAAGCGGGUAGCGUGCUACCUAUCUCUUAAAAAAAAAAAAAAAAAAAAGUUUGGGGACCAAAAUAUCACGUGCAUCAUAGUUUGAGGGCCAAAGAGUAAUUUGCCACACUAAACUAAUACAACAGUUAGUAGAAGAGGUAGGGAUAAAAAAAAACCAUGAACAAAUCAACCUACUCAAAAAGAAAUGCUUCAAUGCUUUCCCAUGACACACACACAAAUUACUGUACAAAAAGUAGGGCAUAAACUUAAUUACCCUUUAAAAUAGUACAUUAAAUGAGCCAAACUCGAAAGUUAAGAACAAGCAUUUUGAUCAGAUGCCCAUGAACGUGCGGCAUUGUAAUUCCCAGUGUUGCUUCGUCUGACGAACACGCUCGACUCUUUCGAUCCGAAGCCGCUUCUCCCAGUAAUCGGAACAACUGUCAGAUAACAGAACAAAACAGUUUUGAGUUUUUCUUUUUAACGGUAAAGCCGAUCUACUACUGAUCAGAAUUUCGUCAGCAAGAACUGUACCUAUGUCUUAGCAGAAUGUGCAGCUCAUCUAAGUGUACGGCACGAGCGAAGACUCCUCCCUGAUUCGAUCGAGAAACAUAAAUAUAAACACGGUCGCAAAAUUCGAAUCAUAUGGUGUGGAAAAGUAUCAUAAAGUUUAACUGGUGUCAUAUAUUUCACACAGAGAGGGAUAAAUGUGGGAACAAACCCAAGUUUUUGAAUCACAUAGCAUGAAAAUGUUAGUAUCUUGUUCGGACGAAUAAGAUAAGAUUAGCUCGAACAGGACGAGGAAAAUUUCUGAAAGCAAUGUACCCGUCGACAUAAAGGACAUUUUGCUUUUGGAUUUGCCGACUCUAGCCCAUCGACAAUCGUGACAGAUGCGGCUGAGCAACAACACAUGUAGCAGAAUAUGUGGCCACAAGCAAGAGCGACCGGAUCGAACACGGUAUCCUGUAACCAAAACCGCUUCAGUAGAUUAAAGCACAUACCAAAGUUUAGGCUAAGUUUGUGCCACAUUUUUGCUUACACUAUCUAAUUGAAACAUAAAUAAAUACAAACUCACCAAACAAAUCGAGCAAGUCAAGUUUAUAUCAACCCUCAUGGAAUCGAAGAGGCCGCACGAGAGCGUCGGCUUGUCCUCAUCGAAUGUGAGGGCGCAAUCUCCGAACAGCUCCAUGGCGGCCUGGCUGGUUUUCUCGCUUCGUCGCAAGUUGAUGUAGAAGGCCAUCAGCUCACAGAGCCAAGGAGAUUGAAGGAUCUCGAUGCGCAAGCUCUGGGCUCGCGCUUUGAACGCUUGUCCCUUCUUCGAGUAGUGAACCUGUAGAUAAAUUUUCGUUGCUAGUAGAAGCGAAAUGUAGAUUCACAUGUGAAAACAACGAUCGUAGGGAAGGUUUUUGUGACACCCCACUUUCCAGAAGGUCAUCUAUUUUAUGCUUAAUUCUCUUAACCUCUUGGACACAGCCACCGUUCAAAAUAUUAUAAUUGGGUUAAGAAGUUUAGCACUAUUAUAUCUCAUAUAUAGAACUAUUCCAAAUCUUACGGUUGUCACAAUCUCCCCUCUCCAAGUCCUGACGUUCUCGUCAUGCUCAAACAAACUCAAAGUUAUCUAAAAGGGGGAUGACGAAACCUUGUCGUACUUCUUCAGUAUCUUCCUCAUCGCCACCGCGUUUACGAUAGCGUAAGUCACCAAGUCUUUGCCUUCUUUUAUCAGAGCUCCGUGAUUGCUGUGAAACCCGAACAGGAACCGCAAAAGGUACUUCUUGAAUCCAGAAGCCAGAUGAAACUCGAGCAAUCUCUUGGCUCGCCUGUUAAAGCAGCCAACGACGGCCGACAUCUCCUCGAGCAGAGAGGGAAAGAAAGAGCCAUCGCACACUGCAUGCAUGUGUGAACAAUUAGUUUCUGAGUCAACAAGCAGAUGUUAAAAAGGUAAUGUAACUCUUUUGAUCUUGUUGUUUUUCCAGCGAAAAGAUUGUUUGAUUGGUGAAAGUAUAGUACCUGCAUAACAAGAUCUGUAAUUGAAUUACAGAAAACUAAUAAAUUGCUCACGGAUUGCAUGUGAAUACAAGUAGAAAAUAGCUUCGAUGAUGCGCGCAAGAUGCAUCAACAAUCAUGUGAAUGGUGUCGUGAUCGAAGGCGCAUACAAAUGAAAAAUUGUUCAGUAUGAGUCAUGGAGUAAAUGAAAUACGGAUCUUAACCAAAGUCAAAUAAGCUGUUUUUUUUUUCUUUUUUCUUUUCCUUCUUCUGCGGCAAUUGAUAUAAUAGAUCAUUGCAAUUUGCCAAUAUUCAAAUAAAUCGUAAGUUCGAGAGAAGUAUUUUUGUAAACAUUCAUAACAUUGAGAAAAUUGCAGAUCAUUAAAGAUAUGUAGAAAUAUUGGGCCCUUCGUACUUAUAAGUUGUUUUCGAUGAUGGAGCUUCCGAAUCGACGAUUCACUCCGUUAAAUAUGAUCUAGAUUAUUUGAAACUUCUAGAAAAUAAAUUUCGUAAUUUUUCGAAAUCAUAAUAAAAUCCAUUGAGCGGGUAUAAAAUGAACGAUCAAAAUCGAACGAUAUCUUAAAAAUGGAUAAUCGUAUCCUUCAAUUUAAGAUCGGAGUUAUUGAUCUUUAUCUAGGUAGUGAAUAAAAUUUUCUAUCAAAAAUUCAACCUAUUCGGAUUCUUUUGUACCGUUAAACUAGCAAGUAUUCCAUACUGGCCGUUAAAAAUUGUCAGCUCACAAAAAUUGUCAAUUUUGUGAGCUUUUGAUCGUAAGGUGAAUGCUGUCGAAAAAUUAUGAAAUUUGAUUUUUAGAUGUUUUAAAUGCUCUAGAUAACGUUUAACGAUCUGAAUCGAUGAUUCAGAAGCUUUAUCAUCGAAAACAACUUAUGAGUACAAGGGUGAUCGUACUCAUAAUAGUAUAGUAGCCAGACUCUCUCUCUCUCUCUCUCUCUCUCUCUAUAUAUAUAUAUAUAUAUAUAUAUAUGCAGUGAGAAAUAAUCUAGCCCUCAGAAUAAUGCCCUUAAAAGCAGCAAAAAAUAUUUGUCAACAAAUUGAGGACUAAAAAGAGGAAAUUAAAGGCUUUCAAAAGGUGGUGAAUGGUAGGGCAUCUAUUGCACCCAUUUCACCACCUCCUUUAAUAUCACCAGCAAACUUUAAAAAAAAAAAAAAAAACCAUUUGAAAAGAGAAACAAAAUCCCAACAAAAUUCAGCCCCAGAAGAGAUCUAAAAACCCCUUUGAAAACAAAGAAACCAUUCUAAACCUUUAACCAAAAGAUUGAUUAGACAGAAAAUGGUUCAGAAAUAGUCGUAGCACCGCCACUCAAUUACGUGCACUGAAAGAAGAGAUAACAGAUCAUUCAUAAUAAAGAGAGAUCACUUAGAACUGAUUCAGAUACCAUGUUAUUCUGUUAUUCGAUGCGACAGAUCAUAAAGAAUGCUGCAGGAACAGUAACAUCAACAUGGAAAUUGGUAACAGUAAAAAAAAAAAAAAAAAAGCCAUCUUAAGCAUUGGAUAAAGAUAUUCCAAUUCUGAUCAGAAAGGAACAACAGUACAGUACCUUGGCAAUGUCCACUACUUGUGCAUCUAUUCUCCACAGAAGAAGAAGUCCCAUCCAAGCAAUUAUUCCCCUCCUCUCCUCCCUCUACACUUUCCUUUUGAUGGUGUUCUUGGAACUCACUCCUGCACCUCUUGAGCAUCUUCUUGAGCUUCUUCAAUCCCACAGUUGGGAGCUCCUCCUCUUUCCCCUUCAUGUAUUCCUCAUACUUCUUUGCAAACUUCAUCUCUCCAGCUGAACCCAGUGAUAAAGAUUCCAAUUUCGAGAAGCAACAACAACAACAACAACAACAUGGGUUGAUAAUGCAAAAGGAUCGAGAAUAUACCCAGUUCAUCUACAAAACCCGAGAAUCUAUGUGCCAACAAAUGAAUGGCUUCUAUAUAUGAUGGGUAACAUUGCAUAGAGACCCUUUCAAACUAUAGUUCAUUUAUACAUGUACAUAUAUAUAUAUAUAUAUAUAUAUAUAUAUAUAUAGAGAGAGAGAGAGAGAGAGAGAGAGAGAUAGAGAGAGAGAGAGAGAGAGUUGAGCUAUGAUACUUUUAUAAGUAUCACCAUCAUGGUGCUAUUAGGUUUUAAGCCAUUGGAUCUAUUUUUUGAUUAUUCAUAAUCCUUGAAUUAAAUACUAUUCCACCUACCACCACCUACCACCACCUACCAUCAUCAUCUCAACCUCACAUCUCUCCAUCCAAGGGCUAAAAACACACAAGUAUCACCCCCAUGAUACUUUUACAAGUAUUCUAGCCCUACUCUAUAUAUAUAUAUAUAUAUAGAGAGAGAGAGAGAGAGAGAGAGAGAGAGAGAGAGAGAGAGAGAGAGAGAAGGACUGGCAUACUUCUGAAAGUACGGAGUCUAUCAUGCUUUCAAAUCAUUUUCGACAUUGGAACUUUCGAAUUGAUGAUCGUUAGACUUGAUGUAAAAUAUUUGAAAUACUAGAAAAUAAAUUUUAUAAUUUUUUAUAUCAUUUGCCUAGUUAUCAAAAUGACUCAAAAUCGACGGCUGAAAGUAAAAAUCUUACAAAAUAUGAUGAUAUGACAUUAAAAUUUUAGAUCGAAAUUUCUUUUUUAGAGAUAAAUAGUAUGCUACCCGCUUCAUUUAUUUUAUUUUAGAAAUAAACUUAUCUGGAAAUGUGAAUCAACUAGAAUUCGAAUUUGGGACCUCAUGUACCAACUACCAAGCCCGUUGCCACUUGCGCUAGGGACGUUUGGUUAGAUCAGAGAUAUUGAUCUUGUUUUAUAUAGUAUAAAAAAUUUUUAUCAAAAUUUUACAUGAUUUGAAUAUUUUUAUACCGUUAAACUUACAAACGGCUCACCAUGACCAUUAAAAUUAUUAAUUUUGAGCCCUUCGAUCACUAGGUAAUGAUAUAAAAAAAUCACGAAUUUUAUUUUCUAAAUACUUUAAAUAUUCUAGAUCAAAUCUAACAGAGCUGAUCAUCGAUUCGGAAGUUCCAAUAUCGAAAAUGACUUGAAAGUACGAAAGGUUCUGUGCUUUUAGAAGUAUACGGGCCUCACUCUAUAUAUAC